AAAAAAAAAAAAAAAGGUGGGGGAACAGGCAGAAUCUAAAACAAAAGGAUGUGGAAAAAGCAAAGAUUCUAAUGUAAAAGGGCACUUGCAAAAGGUGCAAUAAAAUUCCUUUAUUGCACAUCCCAAGUUAUCACCAAUAAUAAAAAGAUGAGGAUAAAUGAGAACAUGAGAGUAGCCAGUUCAAAAGAAGGAGCCCGAGCAGAAAGUAACAUCAAUUCAUUAUUUAAGAGAUAAAAAGUAAAUUCCCUUAUACUUUCGAUCUUUUCAAUACAAACGAUCAAUAUAUUCGUUCUCAUUGUUUAAAAUCCAAAACCAUCAAAGCGAGAAAAUAUGCAGAACAUUUUUCAUCAGCUGCUUCUCAUAUUCAGUCUCCUAAUAAUCAACACCUCUAUAGCGCAAUCGGUUCCCGCAAGCUUUUGUGGGAAAAUUGAAAAUAGAGAACCUUUCUUAAACCAAAACACAACUAAAACACUAACCAUCCCUCACUACAGGAGGGCGUACAGAAGAUUUUUGGGUGACGAUGAUGUCGAAUCCAAAGAAGAAGUUGGGUUGGGGACAAGAAUUUCAUUUGACGAAAUUCCUGACCAUCUGCCAGAUGUUUGUAAAGAGUGUGAGAAGCCUAAUGGCAACUGUGGUGUUGGCUUGAAGUGCAUUUGCCAUCCAAAAGAAUGCAGUAAGUCUGUAUUCUUGUUAAGUAUUAUUUCUAUCAAGUUUGUAAAUUUUGGUUUUGAUGUUAGAUAUAAUUAAUUAGUUUGCAUGCCGUUUCUUAAUUUGCAGAAGAUAAGGUCAUUUCUAAUUUGAGUGGAACCUUGAAUCCUGCUGGUAAUAUUCUCAUUCCAGUGCUUUCUUUCACGGUGUUAAUGAUCUUUUGGAACCAUCGUUAACGCAAGGAGAGAUUUGAAUAAUGUUGAUUAAGACUUAUAGUUGCUAAGAUUAAGCACCUUGAUUAUUUAUGUACAUACGUAUGCAUGUAUGUUCAUAUAAUCAUAUCUAGAAAGCUCGGACAAUUAAUGGAGUUGUGUUUGGAUUGAUUUAAAGUUUUGUUUAAUAUUGUGGUGUUGUUAGUACCCCACCUCUGUUAAGUAUAAUUUUUUUUUUAAUGGAAAAAAUAAUUGUAAAUUUCAACCAUAUUUUACAUUUAUUCCUAGGCCUUUAAUAAAUGAAAAAUAUUUACAUCAAGACUGAAAAUUAAUUUAUCCCCACUGUUUCACAAGUUUGACUCCGUCAUUGACUUAAAAGUUGUAACUAACUUAUGAAAUGGAGAAUGAUAAUAUUUAAUAAAAAUAAUUAUUAAAAUUAAAAAUUUCGAUAAAAUAAAAAAAAAACCAUAAUUAAUCAGAUAUGGCUAAGAUAAUAAUGGGAAAUGACAUGACCGUUCCACAAGUUGGCAGCGAGAUGGGGGUAAAAAUUUUUUAUGAUAGUAGAAUCCACAAUUAGUGAAAAAGAGAGAAGCAUAUAACUCGGGUGGCUAAAAUCCAAAUUCAGGAAAAAGGCCUUGAAAAAUGAAAAUGAUGGGAAGAUUUGAGAUGUCUCCCAUUUGACUCUAAUUAGGCCAACAAAAAAAAAAAAAUUAAUAAUAAAUAAUAAAUAAAUAAAAAUAAAACCUCCUCAAUUCCAAAUUCUUUGAUGGAAAGAAUUGACUUCAAUCGAAUUGACCUCACUACAAGAUUGUUUACUAAUUCUUCUUUUUUAAAUUUUUUUUUAUUUUUGUGUAAAAUAAUGAUCAGAAAACAAAAUAUAAUAUAUAAUAAAGCUGAACAGCAAAUGGUCUUUGAGCAAAUCAAUAAUUGAAGCACAUUCUGUAAAUUUUCAGUCUAUAAACAAAUAAUUGUAGGCAUAAAGAGAAUGUUGAAUUGGAAGGCUCCAAUGUAAUAAUAAUAAUUCAAUUAAAAAGCUGAGCACAGCUCGCAGCGCACCUGUGUGCCAUUAUUUUAUGACUUCACGUGUACAAUAUUUGCCUUCUUUUUCUUCAGCUGCCUGACAAGCAGCGGCAACUUGUGGAACUAAAAACGUUUACCUUGGAAUUUUUGUUUUCAAGGUCGUGACCAUGGUAUUUUUGGGUUUCGUGUCCUCUAAUUUAGGCACUAUCAAGUGAUUAUAUUUUAUUAAUUUUUGUUUUUUUUUAAUUACCUAACGGUGUUCAAAAUGUGAGGUACAUUUUAAUAUAUAUAUAUAUAUAGUAGGAUAGGCAUAGUUAAAAUUCACUUUUUUUAUAGACUUAUAUUUCAAAAUUUAAUUUUAAAAGCCGGCUAAGUGGUUAGGGCUGUUGUCCUCCGAGUUGAAGAACAGCAGUUUAAAAAUAUAUUUAAUUGGUCUUAGUAAUAAUCUGAUUUAUAAAUAUCAGUUAUAAUCUCAUGUAAUAUGUGUUGUAAUUUGAGAAUUUCAAAUUCGAACACAUAGGAUUGGGGAGGAAAAAAAUACUUGAAUCUUUUCCAGAAAAAAAAAUUAUUUAAAAAAUUUAUGAAUCGGAGGUUCUCAGAAAUACAUGGGGUGUGCUUAGUAGCAACGAAUGUCCGAAGUCGGAACUCGCAAUACUAGUUUGCACAACUGACAAGCCCACUUACAUACUUGUAGGCUUUUGGUCCUGAAUCAUGGCCCAAAUUCUGUGGAAGGCUUUGCUUUCUGAAAAUGCCCGGUGUUCUUUCAUGUACAAAUUAUUCAGAGGAAGACUUGCGGCCUUUUCCCCCAUAGUUUUUAUCACUUUUUUUUUCUUUUUUCGUUUUUUAACAAUUUUUUUAAUAAUUCUUUUAUCUCUUGUUGUAAAAAAAAAAAAAAUGACUUUUUUGUGACUGGAAUGAAUUUUUCAAUCAAAGAUCUAAUAUCGGACAGAUAAGGGAGUAUUAUGAAAAAUUGCAGAAACAUAGGUACUAAAAAUUAAAAACUGUUGAACGUCAAACUAUUACAUAAUUUAAUUGUUAAAAAAUUACUUAUUCAAUUAAAUGAUUGCUACCGAAAAAGCACAGGUUUACCGAUGAAGACAUUAAUUUUCAAAAAGUUAUGGAAAAUUAUAUACACAUUGUGAGACAUAAAUUAUCAAAUAAAAUGGCCUAAAGACAAUGAAUCAUGUUUUAAGUCAAACACUAUGUGAUAUUUUAUUUUAUUUUAUUUUGGUAUUGGGUAUGAUUUUUGUCAACUUCUUAAGAGUUGGUAAGCUUCCACUAUGGAGGAAAAAAUUGGAGUGGAUGGUACAAGAGAUGUACCAAUUUGAUGUGAAUGGGAGCAAGAAAAUCAAUUGUUAGUUCAAGAUCAAUUUUGAUGACCUAGAAAUUUUCGUAAAGGUUGAGAUAACAAAGGGGAACAAACAUUGAAAAGCAAGGUUGAAAAGAUUGAUCAAAGGAUUAUCACCAUAAUCACAAGAUUAAUGAAUCAUUCUCUUAAGUGUCAAGUAAUUCAAAAGUUAGAUAAUAAAUCAUGACAAAAUAUUCACUCAAUUGGGAAGAUGAACGGCAUAGUGUAGAAAGAAUGCAUGUUUAGAUUACUAGACAAAAUCCACUAAUUAGUAAUUAUAUCUUCUUAGCUUCGUAAUACUACUUCCUUUCAUUUUUGUUUUUAUUUGUCAACUUUUUAUUCUCUUUUUCUUUAAGUUAUUGUCUCAUUGUGUAGCGUGGUCUUUUUUGGCGGUGGCAACAGGGGUUUACUGGUUAGGGACUUACUUGUUACUAAAGGAAAAUUUAGAUCACUUAUUGACAAAUUAUUAGAAUUAAGGGAUACAAAUGUUUUCACCCCCACAAUAUUAAAUUUGACAAUAAUGCAGGCAUACCCGAAAGGAAAGUAGGUGUCACAAGAUAAAAGGCAAGAGAAACUAUUGGCUACUUUGAAGGAAGGGAGGAUAAGUGGUCCUGAUGUGAAAAUUAAAGAUGGGUGACCCUUGACCUGAAGUCAAUGACUUCCCUCGACUUAGGAUGCAAGGCAGAGUAACCCACAAGGCAAUUUAGAAGAAAGCCCAAAUGGGAGAUUCAAAGGUUGCACAACUCUUGCUUUUCUAGUUCUUAUCAAAGGGGGGAAAAAAAAAGAAUACCCACCAAUCAAUUGUAAGAGCAAAUGAAUUGACAGAUCUAAAAGUUGAUAUCAUGAGUCCCCAAGCAAGAAUCAAAGUCAAUACUUAAUUAAAGAAAUUUAUACCCUAUCACUUUUGGUUUUUGUGGUUGGUUACCCAAAACUUGUAUAUUAUUCCUCUUCAGGUAGUGCAACAAAGAAAAAUUUGGAAUUCUACAGUUCAUGAUGAUGCUAUUGCAAUUAAAUUUCUCUUCUUUAAUGUUCAUAAGCACCAUAUUUCUGGGCUUGUGAGAGUUAAGGCUGUAGUGAAAGCAGCAAUUGAACUUUGCUUUAAAUUUGGGAUAAUUGAUGGAGACAUGGUCCAGAGAUAGAGCCUAGAACAUCAAUCUGCUCCACAGAUUAAUGGAACUCAAAAUAAAAUGGGAAGAUUUUAAUAAAUGUGGCAGCAAUUGCUGGGCACCCAACAUCCACCCAACCACUCACACAUCCUGCAACCAUGCCAAUCCAUUUUAUAAUUGUGGACACUUGCAUUAAAAAGUUAAUUUCUGAUGGUUUUAUUUGAGUCAAGCAAUCAACGAUGUGCUUCUUCGGGAGAUGACAACUCAUACUGCCUUACCUUUCACGGUGCAUUCCAGGACCUGAAAGUGAGUACUUGAUGCCUAAAACUUUGUUUGCAAACUGUGAGUUUUGUACUAACAUUCAACACUCAAGCUUCCUUUUGUUGGGGACCAAAUUUCGAAUGGAAAGAGUAGGGGACCAUGGACAUGGUCCGAACACAGAAGAUGCAACGUUUGUGUCAGUAGAGGUGUCAAUUGAGUCGAGCCAAUCAUUCAAUAAUUCAAGCAUUGGUUGGAUAAUGAAAUGAACUAAUCAAAUGAAUUGGCCUUGGCCCUGCUCUAAGCUUUCAAGCUAGCCUACUGUGCUCUGAUUUUUCAUUUAUGGCCAAGCUUGAGCAUAUCAUGCAAAAGAGCUUAGUUGAACAAAAAGUACCGAGUCAUAAUGACAUUUUCAUGGAGAAAAAGAUUUCAUUAACCUUGCAAAACACACAACAGAAUAACAAAAUAGGAAAUUAUAUGGUCAAAAUUUACUGAUCAUUAUCAGGAGAUUCUCAACUUUAUUUUUUCCUUUUAAGACCAAAAAGCAAUCUUGAUUGAUAGCUCUCAAUAUCUUCAAGUACCCUUUUAGCAAAUCUUCAUUGAUACACUUAAAAAACCAUCAAAAGCUUGUUUGGGUAUCUUUUUCUUUUGCCUUUUUCCUAAUGUGACUCUGAACCUCAAUAACAAGCACUAUUCACAAUUUUAAUAACCCUCAAGAUCAAACAUCUUUUGGUGCAUAGAAAGAAUGAGAAAAAAGAAAUCAAUAUACAAAAAAGUCCAUCAAAUGCUGUAUCUCAAAUUCACAUUUCUGCAUCUUGGAAACUAAAUCUUUCACUGCCAAGUGAUUUUCCUAUUCUCAUAUGAUCAUCAAAAGAAUUAGAUUAUAUCUAUUCCUUUCAAGAACAAAGGAAGUAUAUGCCUAAAAAAAAGAGAGAACUUAAAAACCAAAAAAAAAGAAAAAAGAAAGAAAGAAAAAGAAAAAGAAAAGUAAGAACAAACAAGAACAAGUCAGUUUCUUAAGGGGCAUUUAGGGGCUCUUACAGGCAUAGAUCAACAAAGAGAACUCAACACUCUCUUGCUCUUUCUGCAUCAACUUCUCCUCCAGCCAUAGCCUGCUAUCCAAGCCACUUCGUGUUCUGAACAUGAAGACGGCGUAUCCAGAAGCAGGAUUAAAGAACCAGUCAUGCACAUCCCACAUCAGAUCAACAAGCAAUCCAUCAACAAAAAUUGUCUGAUUCCCUCUAAAGUUCCACUGCAGCCUCUUAACACGAAUCACCGUCUUCUUGUCUAUACAAACAGAUAAAACUGGAUGCUUUAGCCCUUCAUUUUCACCCCCACAUCUGAUCAAAAUGUCAUGUGCAAUGCCAGUGUCACAAAAUUGAGCCUUCGUUGAAUAAAGGGCAUUGCCUGAACAAUGCUCUCGCCGCGAAACGAGUGACACUUUUGCAGCAGAGCUGCUAUUUUUCAACUUCUUGGUGACAAUAUCUUCAUUCAAGUUGCCUAAUAUGAGGCCUAUUUCUGAAUCAACCAUGACAAGAACAUAAAACCCUUCAACAGGUUCGGGCCCCGAGUCAUAUCUAGCAUUGGAAAGAUCCCAAAACACUUCAAUCUUUGAAGGCAUAGUGGACUCAAUCACUCUGCUGCCCUUCUUCUUCCUGAACAAGCCCGAAUUGGUGUUGAGUUUGAAUGAUGCAGAGGCGUCAUCACCUAAGUUUAUGUUUAGGCCUUGCCCUGUAGCGGGGUUCUUGCACCAAGUGACAGUUACAAAGAGUUGGUUUUUGUUGGAGAAGAUGAUUCUGUAAAGACAAGUGACAGCAUUUUGAACUGAAGGCAAUAAACUUGGAGAUAUACAAGCAUUGCUUGAAUAACUAGAACAAGAAGAAUGAGAAACAUUUACAGCAUUUUCAUUAAAACAAGAAACUAAGUCUCUCAUUGUAAUGAAGUGAAGGAUGAUGAAAAAUUUACAGAAGAGAGCGAGCUAGAGAGAUCUAUGAGCUUGGAGAAAUGAAAUGAAUUAAUAAUUUAGCUUAUACUGCUAAUAUUAAGAGGAAAUGAAUAGCUGGACAAGGUAGGUGCUUUUGAACUGUCUUUAAUUUCUUUAAAGGGAAAUUUCAUUUAUUCAUAAGGCAAAAGAAAUCCAAGUUUCUGACAAACCUCAUCUGAAUAAAAAAUUAUUCUCUCUCACCUUAAAAUCAGCAUCUUACAAGAAUAGAAGAUUGAGGUAGAAACUUUGAAGGUUUUUUUUAAAAAAAAAAAUCAACUUUGCCAGUUCAUGACAUGUAACAUUUAACUAAAUUCAAAAGAAAUAAAAAAAAAGUUGGACUUGGUCUGGGUACAGCACUUGUUGUGACAUGAUCGUGGUUAUUACCUUGGCUUUGCGGAUCAAUUUUUAAUAUAAUAAGAUUUAGAAGCAAUUAAGACUUUUUAAUGGGUUUCUUUGGGGAUAAAAAAAGGUGGUUUUUUAAGUUUAGAAAGUGGGUUGAUGGGAAUGGUAACAAUUAAAAAAAAAAAGUAUGCAAGAACAGUCAAAGGAGGAAAAAUGUAAAGAAAUCUUGGUAAUAUGUGAUGAUGAAAUCAAAUUUUGUGGAGUGAUUUUCCAAUAAAAAUGAUGAUUUUAUGUUUGUGAUAGUGAACAUUGGCCCCACAAAAAAUAAAUUUAGCCUCAAGACCACCAACUGCUGCUCCCAACACACCUACGAUUAAAAGCAAGAAAGGCAUAUACAUAGAGAGAGAGAGAGAGAUAGACAUUAUCUUGUCGCCUUUUUUAUCCCUUUUAUAACCCUAAAUUGAAGUAUGAAUGUAAUACAAUAUCAAAUAAAUGCAUCAAUAAUAAAGUAGUGUGACUAUUUUAAUUAGAGCUGGUCUACUUGCUACAUCCUUCAAUACUUAAUAUCAUGUGGUUGCAGUUGGGAAGAAGGAACAUUAAAAAUCAAAUGCCAGCCCCAUGAACCUUUUAAGUUUGGUCAAUUAGUCCCUACCCUCCCUCCAUCCCACCCAAAGUCCAAGCCGCCCCCCCCAAACACCGGGCCAAAUGAUUGCGUGGCUGGGGGGGAAUUACUCCUCCUAAAUGACUUAAAUGCCCACAACAAAACCCUAUAUUAAUAACAGAAUAAAAGACCUUAGAAGUAAAUCUCUUAUAUGUAUAUUGUCCACGUUUUACAUAUAUGCCAUAGAUUGAAUCAGAUUUUCUUUUAAUUAUUGAAUUAGAAUCUCGUGUUUGAGAUUAGGUUGGUUAGGAGUGAGGCAAAGAGUAAAAGACUACUAAUUCGGGUUAAAGUUGCUUAAUGAGGAAGACAAGACUAGUGAUUAAGCAUGCAUGAGGGAAUUAUGUUAUCAUUAGAUGUUAAUAAGACAUAAUUAUGACAAUUUUGACAAAGCCAAAAAAUUAAAGGCAAUAUAUAUAAUCUUUCUCUAAUGUAGAUACUUUUAUUUUUUUCAUAAUAUAUAUAAUCCUUUUUCUAGUGCAGGCACCUUUAUUUUUUUUCAUACAGACAUGUUUUUAAUCUUAUUUUUUUUCAUACAGACAUGUUUUAAUCUAUGGGGUUAAUAGUGUUAGUUUUUAAUACUAUUAAAUCACACGACUUGACAACAUAUCGGCAUUGAAAAAGACAAAGGUAUCUGUACCUAAGAAUGAUUAUAUAUAUAUAUAUACAUACACACACAUACAUACAUAUAGGUGGACUAAGGAAUGAAUGGUGAUGGGGGAAUCUGUCAUAGGAAUUAGAAAACAUAAAACAAAAACAACUUGUUGCAUUAUGAUUUCCCUUUGGGUACAAGUGAGGGGGCAUACUUUUGUGUUAUGGACCCCAGAGAGGUCUAGGGCAUGUUCCCCCAUUAUGGCCCCAAAGUUGAUAGUCUUGAUCACCAUCAAUGAAUGAAUCUACUCAUGAAAAAUGCAGAGAAUUGUAAGAUUGAUUAGCUGCAAUAGUGCAACCACUUGAUUUGACAUGAUUUUGAUUCUACUUUGAAGUAAUUCAAAAGAUAGGAGAAAUUGCCUUGCUGCAGUUGAAUGUUUCGAUGACCUUAUCUCUUGAUUCUAGGAUUCAGUUUCUGGUUAAAGCAUAUAAAAUUACUUUUAUGAUCUUAUGGCUUGAAUCCUUGAUAUGAGAUGUAUAACGUAAACUUUCAGAAGUGUAACAAAUAAGGUCAGAAAUGUAAUGAAAAUUUUGUGAAAUUAUAACAUACAACUAUCGUGAGACGGACAACUUUCAAAAAAAUUAAAAUUAAAAUUUAGAAUUUCCCUCAUAUUAAAUAGGAAAAUAUUUUUCAUACAAAUACGUAGGAGUAAAAAAUUUUAGCUACCAACAUAUUGAUUUGAUCUGGCAAUUAUUAACUGAUAAUCCAUGGGCAAAUAAAUGAUCUUUUCAUCUUCUAAGGAUAAUUCAAGUUCAAGAUACAAGCUUAUUCCUCGUUUGGUUGCUGAGAAAAUGGAUUCCCGAACUUUUCCUUUCUUAUUCUAUUGUUAUCAUGUUCAGUAAAAGACUUACAAGAAUAUUGUUAUCAUGUUAUCAUGUGUAUAAAUCAAAAGGGCAACCGUCAAGUACUUAAACGUGGGGUGAAAUGAAACAAACUGAAAAGAGAAUAGGAAUCCCACCAGAAUGGAAUUCUUUUCUCUUUAGGCUUUACAUAAUACCGAGAAAUUCUCAGCCACCCAGAGAAGCAUCUUUCAAUUUCAUUAACCCAAAAUAUAAAAAUAAUCUACAAAUGCAUGUUGUGUAUGUUUGUCACCCUUAUCAGUUGCCCACCAGAGACUUAAAAGUGCUUUUGAAACAUCACUGAAGCCAGCUCAUGAACUGGCUUUCAAUUAUCUAUAAAUUUUUGGAGAAUGAAUCUAUGCUUUGUUCAGAACACAGAAUUAUGUAGUGCGUGUUGCAUCUUGCGACUCAGAGUAACUCUCACAGCCAACUGUUUCUCUGUUAACAAAUAUAUAUUGCAAGCCGACAUAAAUUUGAAAAUAAAUAAAUGCACAAGAUAAAAGAAAAACAGGAGAACUAAAAAAAAAAAGUGCCUCUAUUUAUUUAUAUGUCCAACAAUUGCUGAGCUCAAUGGAUGUCGUAAGGUAUCAACUUCAAUCAUAACAGAGAAAUUUUGCAGAAAGAAAUAGAACACUCCAGAAAAUUAAUAAGGAGCGUUCAUACUUGAUCAUACAAUGACUACACUUUGCACAGAAAACUUUCGAUGCAAGGUUGUCGUGUAUGCUAAACAGCGCUAUCAGAUCAGGGAAGAGACAUAUAGUCCUGGGUAAUAUGAUAUCAUCCGAUACCUGAACCAACAAAAUGUCUAUGGAACUGUAGUUCGAUCUUGAAUUUCAACUCAAGAACUAGCUUUGGCUCUAAUGCUAAACAAUUUUCUAAUAUCUCUAUGGGGCACAGAGAUUUUUGGUUGUUUGGUUGUUAGGAAAGCUAAACACGUUUUCUAAGAUAAUAACAGAGAGAGAGAGAGAGAGACUCAUUAAAAUAAGAAAUUAAAAAAAUCAAAAGAAUGGAGUCAGCUAAGCUAACAAUCAUCUAGUUCAUAGUAAGACAACUAGUAAGUACUAAUUGAUUCUCCGUUUUGUUAGACAGUACUGCUCAACACAAAACAAUUCCCUAAAAUUAAGGGUAAAAUGCUGGAAUAUUAAGGCUGACUUGUACGAAAUUUCACUUAAUGAUCAUGACAAGAAGCUACUAUAACAUUAAAAAUGGGAUAUGGAAUCGUACUCAGCAAUUAAAUUAAUUCUCCCUGCAGAGUCUUCUUGACACCCCCAGUACCUACACUGAUUAUAUUUUUCAGGUAAAACGAUUAAUCAAAUGUAAUAUGACAUCUCAACUACUAAUAGCAUGUGCAAUUCUAGUUUUCCAAGCUAAUCUCUAAUUAAGAUGAACCAAUAUAAUAAUGCAAUGACCUACGUAACCAUAGUUAAUUCUAACAAGUCAAAGAUAUCUUAUAUAAUGCAGCAAACUGAGAGUCAGAUAGCUAUUGUUACUUCUAGGAAGUUGUCCAGAGUUUGACAGAAAUUCACAAAUUAAUCAAGGAAAGCAACGCCAUAAAUUCCGUGUUUGUCUCUUGCAUCAGAUUCUUUUAUCAUAUUGCCCUAGCUUACCCAUCACAUGUUACUAAGAAAAUAUGUAUAUUCACUAGUUCUCAGAUAUUUCCAACACACUCUAAAUUCUUUACCUUUAGAUGUACCAUAAAAAUGGUGAGUUGAACCUUGGUCGAAGGUCCAAACCAAACAUCAGCCACAAAAAGGUCCGGUAAAGACUGUUAAAAGGUCAUUUUAAAAUUAUACUUUCAGCUCCAUGUUUUCUCCUACUUCUUCAAGUUUCUCAAAAUCUAGGGUUAUCUCAAAACACAAGCACUCUGAACAGUAAAAUGACAAACAUCAAACAAGGAUACAAGCAGCAAAAGAGAAAAAACCAAGAGGGAGAGGGUAGGGGGAGAGAGUUUAUACGCCUUCUUCGAUUUCCUGAAUUUAAUCAAUUUGCCAAAGAUAGAUAGUAAUGGUCACCUAGCUACCCUUACAAAUUGUACAAACUGAAGAUUGAAAUCCACCCAAUAUUAGGAGACAAAACUAGUCAAUAACUCCCUCCAACAACAUCAUAUGACUUUCGUAUUUACAAAUAUAAUUGCAACACAACAGCUCAUCACCAACUUCAAGCGAAAUGCCACCAUAAAUGUAAAAUUGUCCGAUUAGCUUCACAGCCUUUUUGUCCUCCUCCUCCAUGCAACUAUCCACAAUAAAAUACAUCAAGCAUUUCAAAUUUUCAUAGCAAGUACCAAAUUCUAUGGCUAACUGAUUCUGUCAAGUAGAGACCUCUGAUUCCUUGAAACCUCUUAGUUACCAAUUGCAAUUAGGAUAUUUUGAUGCAAAGAGACAAAAUUUAUUACAGUGAACUCUAUUUACAAGGAAUCUACCAUUCACAACAUUCAGAUAUCCAUAUCAUAAAAUCGUAACUGCUAGAAUUACAUAAAUGUACUAGCUCCAUAGUUUACAACCAUUACAAUCUCUAGUUGCCAGGUUUUACAAAAUCAAUUUGUUGGGUCACUGUAUAAUAAGAGUAAAUUCAAAUGCAACCAAGAACAAGGCAUUUUGAUGAUUCAAAACAACAUGAACAUUAUAUUACAAUGCUAAUAAGCUUUAAAACUUCUAUCAUGGAUUCAAAGUUUAAGCCGAGCCUGUGCAAAAAUAUAACCCAACACCCCCACAUUCUCCGAAACCAAUCCAAAACACUGGAAUGAAAAUUUGACACGUUCCAGCAUUUAGUCUUGUUUUCCAAAUUCCAUGUUUUAUGUAACAGUAUAAAGAAUGAUGAAUCAAACAAAAUUUAAUAUUCCUGUAUGAUCUUCGGACAAACUAUUAGGCUCCAAAAAGGUUGGUGGGUUAUCUUCAUUUGCUCAGAUCUUAUAAAUCCAACAUUAGCCAACUCUACAGAGAUUUGCAGUUAAUUAUGCUAACACGUCUACCAAAAAUAGCAUCUGAUUCCUAAAAGGAUUUACCACGAAUAAUUUCUCUAACACAUUCAGGAUUUUGGGAUAGUUUGUUAUACUGAAACUGCAGUAGUAGCAGACAUGUCGUUAUUCCAUAAUGGACUUAUUUGUGUACAAUCAUAAACAAAACCCAGAAUCAUUCUUUCUCCCGAUUGAGCCUGAUUCUCUAAUGAUUCAAAUGAUAUUUCUGGAAACUUGUUUACUAAUCAAAUAUUGACAGAAAACAAAACAAAUAGGAUAAUUUCAAGAAGUAUCUCAUGACUCACUAAGAUGCUAAAGAUAUGUAAACCAACAUAUUCGUCAAUUGACCUCAGAAAACAAGAGUUUGAUUCUGAAAACAACCAAACAGCAUUUUAAAAUGGUAAAACAUUGUUCUCCGUGAGCACUUGCUUUUAGAUGGGACUGAGAUAAUUAGCAAAUCUACCUGUCAAUAAGUCAAGGAAAAAAAAUUAGUAUCAUAAAUGCAUUCCUCCAAGCAACAAAAGGAAAAAUUAGCAACUAAUAUAUCUCAGACAGAUAAUACAGAAGGUAAAGAAAAUAUUUGCCGUUUUCUUCCAGUAAAGAAAAUAUUUGCUGUUUUCUUCUAAACAUUCUACUUUACAUGAUCUAAUAAACAAUUCUUUAACAGCUACUUUACAAACCUCCAAACUACAUAUAUUAAUUAAUCGACACUUUAGCUCCAAAACCUUCCAGGUAACUCAACUAAUGUUCAAUACAAUUUCAACUAAUUUGAUGCUCAUAAAAAUGAAUAAUGUCAAAACAAGGUGAACAACUCUUUGAGUCCAUAGUCAUUUAACUUAAUUUCUCAUCGCCUGCUUGCAGCAGAUCAUGCACAGAGGCAAGAGCACUCUUGAGAUCCUGAAUGACAGAAAUAAUUCCACAUGGCCCAAAGCACAAAUAAACUAAAAUAUAUACAUAGAUUAAAGAAGAAAGGGAAGACCAAUAUUAAGCACCACUAACAAACGAAAUUGCCUCAUACCACAAAAGUAAGGAUAUCCAUUAGUUAACUGGUUUUUCUUUUGUAAUCUGCAUAACCAUGUCAGGAGAAGAAAGUAGAACACCAUUCAAUCCCAGAUGGCUCAAAUUCAUAUAAUCAAACCAGCCACCAGGAAAAUUUUCUUCAUUACACCAACUUUUCAACAGCCAAUUAAAUAAAAAAUAACAGUGAGAAAACCCCCAGUCAGUCUUCAACUGCCUAGUGAAAAAUUUAAUUGCUCCGAAAAUAAUACUUCCUAGGGCCAAAAAGGGUUCUAGUCCUCACCAUAAACAUAUUCACAGCAAUCUACCACUUCCUCACAGACACCGAGGGUUUUUUAAUGUAAUUAUAUGAUCUGUAAUAAUUAUUUUUUCUCCACCAUAACUUACAAUAUAUUCCACAAUCUAAAAAGAACUAUACUGGAAGCAACAGAUCACAAUACUCUCAAAAAAAAAAAAGUACAAAGAUGCUAGAAUUUACAUGGCUUAACAAGAUUAAUAUAAUGCUCAAACAGUCAAUACCUUGAUUUAGGCUCUGUUUAGUAUUGCUAUCUAGCAGCAGUAUUUCUUAAGCUACAGCUGUAAAGUCUCCCUUAGUUGUUUGAAGAAAUAUCUAUAAAACUCUUGCUAUUUUUUGGUCAAAAUAUGAACUUUAAAAGUCAUAUUUACCAAAAUACUAUCAACUUUUAUUUCAGAUUUGUUUCACAGUUUAAGCCACUGCACCAUAAUACCAAAUGAAGUCUUAUCCUAGAACCCGGUAAACUACCAACAACUGAACCGCCCCCAUUUCUUCCAAAUGAAAAUCAGAAAAUUCUCUAGAACCCCAAGUAGCAGCGUUGGGCAAAUGCCAUUGGCCUCAAAAUGGAAGCCACACCAGCAAGUGUCUAUCCUAUUACAAGCGCCAUGUACAAUAUCAUAACUACAUGACAUAGGAGAGGGAGAGAUUAAACCUUGAAUGGAAGUGUUGGCAUCAGUGGGCAGCCUGGAAACAAGACAAGCGGCAGAAAUGGCGCUGUGGACAGGAACAAGAGUGCUCAAUUCUCGCCGCACCAAUCUAAACAUCCCAAAUUACGUCAUAUUUUAUAGAAAAAUAAACACCAGCAUGGCAAGAGAGAGAACCGCUGAGAAAAUUUUAAAGAUAAAAAUAUAUAUAUAUAUAUUUACCUGAUUGGAGAAGGAGCGGGGGAAAAUCGGGUCGGCCAACGGAGGCUGAAAUUCGAAGGAACGAAACCAUUUGAGACUGAGACUUGAGACGGCCUUCUAGGUGUUGCUGCUGAUGCUCUUGUCGGUACUGAUCUCAAGAUUGUGCGUGCGAACGUAGAUGAGGAUCUUCCACUUAUUGUAGCUGCUGCCAUUUCUGAUUCUGAUCUCAAUUCAACCCUAAAACCUCUGUAAAACCUCCCAACAAUUUGAUUGCGGAAGACGCUGUGUGCACUGUUCAUCUUUGGUUUAGUGGGCUCAGAUUUUCAUUUGAGCCCAUUAGGUUUUGGGUCACAUUUUGGUGGGCCCAACCCAUUUUGGGAAUACUUUGACCAUUUUUACUAGUAUCCCCAAAUCCCAUAGAUUUGUAAUUUUAGCAUCAUAAAUUCAUAAUAGCACCCAAGCAAACAGCUAUAACUAGGGGUGGGCAUAAACCCACAACCCAUGGGUUUACCCAAACUCAAAUCAAAUUAAAUAGUUUUGGUUGAGUAAAUCAUGAAAAUGGAUUAGAUGUAGGUUUUAUAUAGAAAACUAUUUCAUUAUGGGUUGGGUAUGGUUUACCCAUGGGUCAUGGACAAAACCCCAACACUCAAAAUUUUCAAAUAAAAUAAAUGAAAACAAAAUAAAUGAAUACAAAUAAGUGAAAGGCCACCAUUAAAUUUUUUACGGCGUGAUCAAUUGUCAACAGUUAGAAAAUCAAAAUAACAUGUAAAAAUAAAUUUAAAUUAAAUAAAUAUUAUUGUAAAUAACAUAAAUUUUUUUCUUAUUUACAAAAAUAAUUCCUCCCACAUGGAAUGAUCAUCAUAGAAAGAGCAGGAGACUCUACUAAUGAUCAAUACUAACUCGGCUUGGACUGGGUCCGAUAUGUUAGAUGGCGGCUAAUUUUUUGUCAAUAAUUGAAUGUAAUGCCCAUAUUAGGCCAUGUACAAAACUUUGCUUACCAUAUAAUGAAAUUAGAACAUAAAGCAUACACACUAUAUAAUAUCAUAAUGUAAAUAAAAUUAAGCAUAUAAGUAGACAACAUAACGCAAAACUACCAAAACGAUAAAUAAAAACAAAUAUUGCAUAAUUAAAUAAAUAACAAGUGGCAAAAUUUAUUAUUAGAUUGUUAAUGUCAUGUUUGUGAAAGUUUAUUAUUAAAGUGUAUGUUCUUAUUUAUUAAGAAAUAAUAAUUUUUGUGAUUAAACUUUAUUUUAAUUUUCUAGUAUUCUUUAAUUUAAGGAUUAAGUUAUUGUAAAAUUUAUAAUUUUUAUCCACUAUAUUUUUUUUAUAUUUGAAUAUCAAUUUAAUAAUUAAUAACAAUUAAUAAUUAUUAUAAUUUUGAUAUAAUUAAAUUUUAUUAAAAUAAAAAUUAUUUUGAUAAUAAAAUUCAAAUCAAACCCAAAUGGGUUGGUUUGAGUUGGAUUAAAAAUAUUUAGAUUGGUUUGGAUUGGAUCCAAAUUUUUAUUUAAUUUGAGUUGACUUAAAAUCCAACUCAAACCAACCCAUGCCCACAGCCCACCCCUAGCUAUAACUAUUAAAUCACAUAACAACAUUUUCAAUGCUCAAGUUGAACUGUUGAAGAGGCAAAUUUACAUUUAUACAGCAAAUUUCUCAUUGUUAAUAAACUUCAUGAUCGGGCACCUGCAGUAUGAUUUCAAGUUAAUUUGGAACUACACAUAUAUAUUGUGUCAAAACUUAAAACUCUUCAUCAUCCACAGUUGAUCUCGUAAUGGGAAUUGACCAUCUGCCCAAAUGAGCAGUGUAGUUUAUGCAUCGGAUAACACCUCUUCCGACGGGUCCAUCAGGGAAGUCAAUAACAGAGACACUACCUGCAUCAAGGUGAAAUGAUCCCAUCCAUUCUUUGGUCAAAUUAAGGCAGUGUCCCAUCAAUGCUAAGUGUGCUGCAGGGUGACCUACUACCACCACAACUUUUUCUGGCUCCGCUUCAUCAGAUUGUUCAGUCAACAGUGAUUGCCACACUUUCCCAGACUGAUUCCACAAGGUUGACAGGACUUCAUCCUCAAAUCCUUUCAGCCAACCAGGCUGAAAAGGUGCAACCCCUACGGUAUCCUGGGAAAAGGCAGAGAAAUGAUCGGACAAACACAAGCAAAUAUUUCAAUUAGCCUCACAAGGUAAGAAAUGACACAAUGCAUGGAUGCUUUGAGGACAUCAAGCUCAACUAUUAGGAGGAGAGAAUACAAUUCAGGUCAUUUGUAUUUUAUGCCUUGUAAGUAAUUAAGAGUGGAGAUAACUUGGUAUGCAAGGAAAACUUGUAAUCAAAUGAGAAUAAACUUGGUUUUAGUUUCAUCCUAAUCUUUGGCCACCAAACAGUGUUCAUAAUGUAAAAGUAUUAUGGUAUAUCGAUUUCAGAUGUAUUGCCUUCUUCGAUUGCUGAAGAAUGUCUUCUACAUCAAGGUCAUUCAUUUUCUUCAACUCCACAUAGCGUGGCACACAAUCAGCACCCAAGCAAUCUGCAGCUUCUUGCACCUACAAGGAAGGCUGCAAGUUAAUUUGAGGAAGAUAUUUCAAGAAAUGACACCCUCUGCAGCUGAAUGGAGUCUGUGAAAUAGAGAACUUAGAAUCUGAUCCCAGCCCAAAAAGAUUCGAAGUAGCAGACACAAACACAAGUACAGAGAGAGACUAUACACUAUGAGCUUACUCUUGAGAUGGCCUCGGCUGUCUGAACACAAGCAUUCUUUGGACUGCUGACUACGGAGCUCACAUUCAAGUCAAGAAGCAACUCUGCUGUUUUCUGGGCCUGUUCAAGCAUCCAUAGACUAAUUAGAUCAUUAGACCGAUUGACCUAACCAUCGUAGACAAAAGAAACUGAUGAUAUACCUGUAUUAUCCCAAGCAUGUUCAUUGGCUGCUCUGCAGAAUAAGCAACACUAGCCUGUGUAAUAAUGAGGAGGAUUUAAUAAAAACAAAAUGGCAACAAAGUAAUAUUGAAGACUGAAUAAAUUCAGAAGUUACCCCAUGGAUACCUAAUUUUAAGAUACAUAUUUAACAGCAAGUUGACAUAAUUUACAAUAAUGCUAAAAGUAUGAUUUUUUUUUUGGGGCUACAACCAGAUGCAAUGGUAAAUGCACUCGAUAUCUCUAUCCGCACAAUUUGAUGUUCCAAUAGUGCUGACAAGAUAGACCAACCAUGUUUGGUGGCAACCCAACUUUCAAUAAGCCCAAAUAGAAAUCAAAGAGAAAUGUUAGUUGCAGGUGUUAUUUGUCAAUCCCAAGGCCAGUUACAUCUAAUUAAGUAACUGGAUCAGUUUAACUGAUCUACGGAAGAUGAAAUAGGACAAGUCAUAAGCACAAAUGAAGAACACAAUUCAAGUCACUGUUUAUUUAUCUACCUCUGAAUCACCCUGAGUAGUUCCAUAACAGACAAGUAUAAUCCGUUUACUGGCUUUUCUGCCCCCAGAACUUCCAGCAGCAACAGGUGAAUUUGGUGUCUGCAACAUUAUUUUAAUACUGUUUAAGGAACAGCAUAACCUGUUUCACAACCUACGUAAUGGAGAAAAACAGUACAUUUAACUAAUACACAUAUGGAAAAAAAUUUCAUAAUUGAAACAGAAAACAGAACCCUCAAUCUUCACCAAAUAGACUUGGAAUUAUAAGUGAACCCAGCUUUAAGGUAGAAAAAAGCCAGUGACAUUGUACUUCAAGUAUCUCUUUAGGGACAUCAUUAAAUUUAACAAAUAGGCAAAGCAGCCUUUACUUCCAAUACUACAGGUCAAUCUUCCAAUUUUUGUUAUGACCAAAAAACAUUCUAGAAAAGAUUCAGUGAUUAAUUUAUUUCUUUUAUAAGGGUCAGGGAUUAGACUCCGUUCGGCAAACAUGAGGAUAUACCUGAUUUAGACGAUUGAGACAAAUGUGUGGGGACCCUCCAUCAGCUGAUGGAGUGAAAUCCAACACACUCACACCACAAUUGCUCUGAAGUAAGAUCCUGAAAAACCCAGUUCCUAGUCCUGAUUGUUGGAAAGAAAAGGCAAGCGUGCGAUCAAAACUCCACUCAGAAUGAAUAAUUUCAUAUUUGAAACAUUAAAUGGCAAUAAAGAGGAGAUAAUACCGAUCGCCGUGGCAACAAGAGCCUGAUUAACAGCAUUAUGAGCAACCACAAGAACCGACUUGCUUUCAUGGGCUAGGAUUUUAGUCCAGCAGUUUCUGGCUCUUGCCCACAACUCUCUAACUGGAUAGUGACCAUCAAUGCUGAAAUUUGCGGGAUUUACCUGCCAUUGACGAUAAGCUGGACCAAAUUUUGUUUUUCCCUCGUGCUUCAGAAGACCCUUGAAAACCCAUCAAUAUGGCAAUACCAGACCCGGUUACUAACUAUAUUGUGCCGGAUGCAUGUACAAUAUUGCAAGAUUACAAUGCCAAAAUUUACCUGGAAAGAAUAAAGGUCAAUUUCUCGCAAGUCAUAGUCGGUCAAAAUCUCCUCCUUUCGAUUGCCCCAUAUGAUUUCUGCCGUUCUCUUUGAUCGAAUCAAGGGGCUGAGUGGUAAAAAUACACCUCAAUGAAGUAAAAUAUAUGUACAUGUUGCAAAAUUAUAUAUGACUCUUAACAGACAAUUCCACUCAUCAAAAGCUCUUUCAAACUUAGAAGUGCUUCUACAUAAAGUGCUUGUUCCAGAAAACAAACCUAGAGAAGCAAACAUCAAAGGACUCAUCGAAGAGCAUCUGCCUCGAGGUCUCAGCCUGAGCCUCGCCUUUCUUCGUCAAAACGGAGAAAUCAGAGCUCCCCUGGAUUCUUCCCUCCGCAUUCCACGUGCUCUGCCCGUGCCUCACCAACACCACUCUCUUCGCCGCCCGAAUCUGCGGGAACGGUGGCGAAACGUAGAGUUCCGAGCUCAACUCUCCGGCAUCAGCCGUUGAUUUCGACGACUCCUCGACUUCCUGGACGGCCGAUGAUGAUGAUGAUGAUCGGACGGUGAAGCUGAAGUAGGGCCUGUGAUGAAGAAGAUGGCUGUGGUUCAGCAGUGAUGGCGUAACGGGAAAUGACAACAUUUUGAUUUUUUAUUUUUAUUUUUUUACCCUUUUUUUUUGUGUUUUUAAUGAUGUUUUUUGCUUAUUGUUUUGUGCUGCGAUUGUCUCUGUUUCGCGCUAAUUUUGUUGAUUUGAUUUUGUUUUUCUUUUAUGUGGCUCAGUUUUAACGUUGUUGUCGUUGUCAGUAGAUUGUAGAGCAACCAAAUGGCUGACACGUGACAAUAACAUUCCUAUUUGAUGCUUCUUCUUUUGAUUUUUUUUUUAUAUCAUUGAAAAAAAUCUAAGUCAAUGUGAUUGUGGCAAAGCAAAAUAGGUUAGGAAAUAUACCCUUUCUUUCGUUAAAACGGCCAAAAUAAUUAAUAAUACACUAUCACAAGAAUGAAAAUAUAUGAUCUGAAUAUAUUUAAAACUCAAUGAAAAGGAAUUAUUAAAAAAAUUACAUCUAAAUGGAGGUGAACUCUCACUCAAUAAAAUAAAAUAUAAUAAAAUGUAAAAGAUUUUUGUCAUGUAAAAGAGUCCUUUCCCCAAUUAAGAAAUCUACCUUUACUAAUAAUAAUCUUUAAUGUUUAUAACUAUAGGAACUCGAAUCCACCACAUCAAAUUAUUAUUGAAAUAUUGAGUCAUCAUUAAACUAUGGCCUAAGUACAUAUUUUUUGUAAUAUUGUUCAAUUGAAACUAAAAAAGAAAAACAUUUUAUUCCUUUAGAUACAUGAAUUAUUAAGUUAAUUUGUUAUGAUUUAUUUCUUUCUAGUCAAAAGAGUAUUUCAUCAUUUACUACCAAACGGGCAAGUGAAGGACCGACACGCGGCAAUAAGAUUGAAGUUUGAUGCCACUGUUUAAAAUUUUAAACAACGGUAGUUUUGGCCCAACAUCUUUCUUGGCUUUGCUGCUAUGCUGGGAUGAUUGGGCUCCGAAACGACGAAGUUUUGAUUCAAACAAAGUGGGCUAGAUUCAGAAUCCAGCCCAUUGAAUAUCGAUUUAGGAAAUCAAAAGCACGCGUGUAGAGGAAUAAAAGAAGCAUAGAUAAGAAAAACUUCAUAAACCAAACAAUAAAAAGAAGUACAUGUACUCACACCAUCUCCAUAUUAUCAAAACAAUUCUUGUUUGCAAUAACUAUAAUUACAAAUUAAUUGCUAAUUUCUUUAACUUGAUCUCCUUUCCCACUAAUUUCGCAUUUGUAUAACAAAAUUGUAAAUCAUUUUAUUGAUUAUAGUUGAAAAUUUAUAAGAGAAAAAAUGGAGUUAAUUAUCGUCCGUGAGAUUUUACCUUGUUACAAUUAAAUGAUUGUAGUUUGAAAAUUAACUAUCAACCUUGAAAUCUCAUUUAAUUGAAAUUCUGUUAUCUGGAUAUUCCCAUCACUAUCAUCUAUAAGAUUGUUCAACGAAAUUUGAUGAUACAUACAUUUAGUUUUGAUAUAUAACCAUAAAAUACUCUUUAUCAUUUUUAAGUUUCGAGCUACUACACAAAUCAUAUGAGAAAAGAGUUCGAUGGGAAUUAAAAAAAAAAUUAUUCUUUAUAAAUAUCUUAUUUAUGUUUGUGCUUAUUUUUGAGUUAUGUUUAACCGACCCUUAAACUGUGGUAAUCAAAGUUUCUCCUCCUAAUGUCCACAAAUUAUUAGUAUGAUUCAAAACUUAAAAAAAAUUAAAAAUUUCAAACUUAACAAGAUAGUUGUUAAGUUACAUAAUUAUGUAACAUAUAUCGUCUCAAUAGCUACUGCCAGUAACACAUAUUUUUGUUAUUUAUAUAUUAUUAUAUUAUUAAUAACAACUAUUGUAUUGAUAAAUGUUAUAUUAUUGUGUAACUUAACAAACGUUCCAAAAAUCUCUCAGUCUCCUCUCCAAUGAUGCAUGGUGUGGAGUCAUGUCAUAUGGAUUUAAGUUUUUAGAUAAACCUCGAUACGCCAAUAGAUUACGAUGUAAUAGUCCAAAUCUUAAAAAAGAUAAAAAGUUCUAAAGCUCAACAAGCAUCCUUUCUCCUCUCUCCAGUGAUGCACGUUGAUUGGGGAUCAGCAAAUCGCACCCCAUAUCGACCCCCAUGCCUAGGAAUUUGUGCCACCACCCAUCCAAACAUGCGAUUAAGUGAUGAUGAUCUUUAUGCUUGCGACAACCAAACCGAGCCAAACCAAUCGGCACAUCAAAUCAGAUUAAUCCAACAAAAUCAAACGCCCUGUGCCAUAACAUUAUGAGCUUUCAUUUUUAUUAGUUCAUUCAGAUUUAGAUUUUUUUGGUAGGGCCAAAUUUUUACAAUUACGUUAAAACCCACUUGGCCUUUCUGUCUCUUCAGCCUCGCACAAAAGGCAAAAAAAACGGCUAGUUUAGAGUAGUAGGACAUGUGCAGAGAUGUUCAUUCCUUCCUCGUAGUCAUAUUUUUCUUUGCAUGACAGUGCAGUGCAGCACAACUGGCAUAUGCAAUCUUUUGAUCUUGAUGGUGAGUGCCCAAAAUUAGCCGUUGCUUUCGCCUUCUCUUCAAACCCAGCUAAGCAAUUUUAUUAUUAUUAUUAUUCAAAGAAAAAGUGGUUCAAUUGAUGUUGCUUUUGGACUGUGGAGUGAGACCCCCCAUCAUGACAUUUGUCGGUUGUAAUGUUCUCGGCUUCAUGCCCAACUGUUCAUCUAAGCCAAAAUUGGAGUGUGUCCGUAUGUAAUUGUCUUUAGCAUAAAUAAAAAUUUUGAAGUAUUUUUUAUUUUAAAUGAUCGUGUUUUCCAAAUUAGUGACAAAUUGUACGUAGAAUUCUUUAUUAUUUGUCAUAUUAACUUUCUCUCGGUUUCGAAUUUUCUUUUUUAAUAAGCAGGAAAGUAUGCCUUUCGUCAAAGGAUCGAUAAUGAUCUAAAAACAUAAUGUCGCAUGGGCUUAAAUACAGGGCUACAUCAGGUUUAGUAUAAUACAUAGGAUCAUGUUUAAAAUCCAAUACGAAGUUAGGGCAAUGCCUAAUAAUAAUAACACACAACUACAAACACUACAAAAUUCUAAGAGCUGAAAAAAGAAUAAAUGAUUUUACAAAUUAAGAUCUAAUGAAGCACUCGAGGAAGCCACUUUAGCUACUGCAGAAAUUGCAACAAAAACCACCCUUAUUAGUUCACCAGAAAGUGUCUCAAUGUCAAUGAACCCUGGCCCCAAACCCUCAUAACCUUGUUCAAAGUCAUUGGAACCUCGACGCAGUACUACUAAAGUCGUCAACAGCUUUAAUCCAAGCAUACCCUUUUGAUCCAAACACUAACACGAUCCUGAUUUGGACACUAAAACAAAAAACAUCCUUAAAAAAAGAAAAACAAAAGCAUUAAUUAAUUAGAUCACAUUGGGGAUUAUUGUGCCAAGGAAAGUUGGUCUUUAAGUAUUAACGUAUAUAUUAUUUAUAACGUAUUUUUGAAAAGAGCCACUUCGGCCUUGGCCGAAGUGGUGGGCUGCUGCCCUCACAAGUAUUGUGAGGGCAGUGGUUCUAGCCCCCACAAAAGUAUUGUGGGGGCUAAAUGUUCUUUAUACUUCCAAAAAAAUCAUUCUCCCUUGCGAAAUGCGAGUGGAAUAUGGACAUCCCUCUCCUGUGAGGGAUUAUUUGUUUGGGCAUGUACUUCAUAGAAUUCAAUGUCAUAAUAUAAGUCUUAAUUAUGUAUAUCUGAUUGUAAAUAUCAGUAUAAUAUCUCUGCCAUAAUAAUAAUUGUUGUAAAUAUCUGUGUAAUACAGUAAUCUAAUGAUUAAUCAGUAUUAAAAAAAAAAAAACGUAUUUUUGAAAAGUUUGCACACACACAUGGAGGAGCAGUGGGGCAGAGACAGAUGCACGUUUAAGAGAUACAUAUUUUUAUAAAAAAUUGUACUAUAUUGAUAUAAUAAAAGCUCUACGGUCAUCAAAUAAUAAGUACAACUUUAAUAAAAGCAAAAAGUUUUUAGAAAAAGGGCGGGGAAAAAGAUAAUGAUUAUCACACUGAAACAUUUUUGAUUUCCAAGUACUUCCGGAUUGUAGUAAAGGCCGGCAAAUUAAAUUCGCUUUCAAGUGGAGUAUUAAAAACACUAGCAGAAUAAUGAUCACAUGGAGUCACUCACCCCUUCUAUUUAGGAAAGUGACAUUUUUUUUUUAAUUUUUUUUUUAAUUUUUUUUUUACACAUGACUCCAAAAUAGGACUAAUUAGGUUCCACCAAAGGCCGCAAAAUUCAACAUGGGACAUCACAAAUUCACAAUCUCACAUGGUUUCUCUCAUCUUACCCUACCAUUUUCUGCCUUUUUUUUUUUUUUUUUUCUUUUUUCACUUCUUGUUUCUUAAAAUUGGAUGGGUGCAGCCGCGCUAGAGCUACAGGAAGCAAGCACUUCCUCGGUUCCCCUUUUACAUGGAAGCCUUGGCGGCAUAUGAUAAUUGAUAAGAUAAAUUGAAAUUUUAUAUGGAUGCUCCUGAUAACAAAGACAAAACAUGUGGGUUUUCUUCUGAUAGGCGACUGUCAAUUGAAUCUACUUUUCUCCCUUUUUUCCAAAUUGUUGCUGUGCAUAUUUGAAUCUUCACGUUUUACAACUACUUACAAAACAACAUAGUUUUUUUUUUUAUCCGUAAUAAUUUAAGAUUACUUAUAAUUAAAAAAUUCGAGUCUUUCAUAAAAACUUGAACGUAGGCACGAGAGCCUAAAUAAGGAUAAAAUUAUAAUUUAAAAUUAUUUAUUCUCAAUCUAAGACUAUGUAAACACAUAAAUUGUAUUCUGAUUUUAAUUCUAUACUCUCAUUCCAGUGUAAGUAAAUAAUUUACUCUCACUCCCACUCAACGCUCCUAAUCUCAGGAUUUCAACUUCUCAGAAUUCUCAUUCCAAUUUAAAAUGUAAACGAUACUUUAUUUCCUUUAACUUAUUAAUGCUUUCCAACAAAAUAAAAAUAAAAACCCAAAAUAUUUGUUGAGAAAUUAAGCACGAGAGCUCAACAUGUAACAUUUAAUUACAAUGGUUGCACUGCUAAAAACGUGUAAGAUACUUGAUGCGAGAAUUUAAUGCCAUUUGGUGAAAUGGGGUAGCAAUUAGCUGUCUAUCUUUUCAAGUCUCCAUUUGAUCACAUGGCUCCUCAAAGUUGAGUUUUAUGAGCUGCACAAAUGUUAACUUUUUUCUCAUGAAAUAAUUGCAAUUUUAAUUAAGACAUUAAUUUCCUUGAUUAAGUUGAUACAAAUAGUUGGGUCACUUUGGUGCAACUUCCCUAUUGAUCAAUGAUUUAAUUUUACUAUGUUAGUUUGCCUGUACCAAUCUGAUCAGCUGUGAAUUUAUGGGGCACCUAAAAUUGCAGUGAAGGUGAUAUCAUUUUUAUUGUGUUAUUUAUAGCAUGCAAUGUCAAUUUCUUCCCCUUCUUGUUCCAUACUAUGGUUUAAUAUAAUGAAUUAUUAUUUUUUUUCAACAACAUAGAUACUAAAAUUAAGCAAAUACUUACUAACUUCUACGAAAAAAAGAAUAAUUUCAUUUCAAUAAUUGAUACAAUGAUAAAAAUUUUCAAACGAAUUUUUUUUUUUCAUAAUUUCAAAAUCAAAGGGGGUCCAUUUGUAUUUUAAUAUGAUAUCGAAUGAGGCCAUUGGAAUUUAAUAACGUUCACAAACAAAUUAUAAAUUUAAACUUCUGUUUUAAGCAAACAUGGCGUUGUUUAUAUGUGAAUCAAUUUGCUUGACAAUGUCUCAUUGGCCAUUGCUUGAUCCAAACAUUUGUUUUUGUAGCCCCUUAAUGUGAACAGUAGAUCUAAUGAAAGCCGAAAUAAAAUCAUAGUAGUUGAAAUUAAAAAAAAAAAAAAAAGUGCGAAUAUUAUAAGCUUAUCCAAAUUUCAUUAUUAAGCAAAUUUUUAGAUGAUUAGCAUGUAUCAAAAUUAUAAUCAUAUCUUAAGAUGAAUCAACCGUUCCUUCACGAAGAAACUAAACAGAGUGGUUCGUGAAUAUUUUAUUUUUCGGGUCAAAUAAUUCAUGUCAUUUUCAAGAGAUAUACAAAGUCACCUUUUCACAUUUCCUUUUUUAUUGCCAAAACCUUAGCCUCGGAGCAAGGCUUAAUUAAUUAAUCCAUUUCUCAUUGGCCCAUGCAAAUGCAAUCAAUCUUCAAUUUCGUUCAGUAUCAAAUUCUUUUGACUUGCUUCACUUUUCUCACAGAAAGCUAGGUGCAAAAAUUUCACUGGCCACAUUUUAUUUAUUGUAAAUUGUAAAGUUCACGUAAUCUGAUCACUCCUAUAAAGCGUAUUGAUUAUUGAAUUUUCUUUUUCCUUAAAUCUUUUUGAGCUGAAGUAUACUAAAAGUUAAGUAACUAAAAUUGAUCAGAAGCUGUAUUUCAAUUCAAAAAUUUUACACACCUAAAAGAAAAUGAACAUGCUCAUACUCUUUUAAGUUCUUCACAUUUUAAGUGCUACAAGUCUACAACAAUGUACAAGCGUGUGAGAUUCAUAUUUUACGAAGUAAAUACAUAACCGAUCACACGUGACUUAAAAAGUUAAAAAAAAAAUAAAGUCUUUACCAAAUAUGAUUUGACAUUUUAUUAUAGUAGACAAUAUAUUAUAAAAUGCUACCCCAAAUGUUUUGAUAUCUUAAAGUUUUAAAAUUUAAAAUGUUAUCUCAUGAAAUAAAAUUAUGAAUAAAAUUUUGUAAAAUAUUUUCUAGUAAUUCAUUAGUUCCAUGGUUAUUAUAAUAGGUUUCUUUUAUUAGUUCCUUGUCCCAAACAGAAAAAAAAAAGCUGUCAACAAUUAUAAAUAAAAAAGAAGUUUUAUUAUUAAGACAUUUGAAAAUACAAUGAAUUAAAUAAAAUCAACCAUGUUAUGAGUUAAACUAAGUUUGUACGGGACACUAAUUAACUGUCAAGAUUUAUCUAAAGUAAAUCUCAACCCAUAUUUCAUUGGCACACCCAUGCACCCAAUAACCUUGAGCGCAUGGGUUUGAGCCCCAACGCUAGCACAAUGUUGAGAGUUGGGACUUGACUCUCUUAUAUGAUAGGAUUUAUUUGUCUCUUUAUAUUGAGGUAUAAUUAAUUUCCCUUUAAUAUUAAUUGGGAGGGUAGAUCUCCCUUUAACUUUAAGUGAGCAUUGACAUUCGAACUGUACUGUAAUAAAAUUAUUUAGGAGAGUUUCGACUGAUCUCUGAUUGUAAAUAUUAGUAGAAUUCUAAUUAUAAUAUAUCAGUGUAUUAAAAAAAUCAAAAAUAUAAAAUUUAAUACACUAUUUAAAAAUUAUUAUUAUUAAAAUUAUUACAGCAUCCCAUGAUUUCGGAAAACAAGAAAUAGAAAAAUUGAAAAACGUCAAAAACGCGGAUUUGGGCUCCUUCAUCAGUCAUCAGUCAUCACCACCACGCUCUCUCUCUCUCUCACUCUCACUGCACUUUCACUCACUUGAAAGCACUUCCAUUUCUUCUAAACCCUAGCCCUAGGGACUAAAACCCACUUCAGAUCUGCAAUUUCAACUCUUCCAUUCUCAAGCUUUUAAAUUUAUGACACGACUAUGACAACCCUCUAGCUGAGUAGAAAACUCCCUCAUUUUUUGCAAAUGUCAAGUUCCGACCCGAAAACCAGACCCAAACCCGGCCCCUGGCCACCGGCACCCGAUGCUGCUCCGGUUCCGCCCUCAUCGUGGGCUAAACGAACUGGGUUCCGGCCCAAAUUCUCCGGGGAGACUAAUGCCAGUGACUCGGGUCAAAUUAGCUUGCCACCUAAGCCUAGGGAACCUGUAAACCAGCCGGAUCUUGAAGCGGGUCGGGCACGGGCAACUCCUCGUCCUGCACCAGUGCCAGCACCGGCGUCGUCGCAAGCUUUGGCUAAUGGCGACGGUGAGAAGGUGCCAGCGCCGGUUGCGCCGACGAAUAAGGAUCAGACGGUGAAGAGGCGGAGGGAUUCGGAUAAGGGAUUGAGUAUGAAUGGGAAUGGGCAUGGAAAUGGAAAUGGGUCGGGUCCGGCGGGGCCAACCGAGACGAAUCAGCAUCCGCAGCCGCAGCCGAGGAGGGCGCCGAGGAAUGAGGAAAUGGUGGUGGUUGAUGGAAUGGACGAUGAUGGGUUUACAAGUCGGCACUCGCAUAUGAAGUAUCAGCUUAGAGAUACGCCUGGUCUCGGUGAGAGCUUUGACGAUUAUAAUUAUAAUUUAAUGUUUUUUAUCAUAUUUCGAGUUGAUGGUGUUCUUUUAGUGAUUAUGUCACUAAUUCUUGGUGGGUUUUGUUUGUAUGACGGGAAGAGUUUCUUGAGUUUAACGGCCAAUUGAAUUAGGUUAUGUUACGUUUAUGUGAUUUAAUUGUUCAAUGGUGAUGGUUAAGUAUUGUGAUUUUAUUUUAUUGAUUUUAAUAAUGACUUGAAAUGGGUUUUGUAUUUUCGAAUGAAUGUGUCAGUUCCCAUUGGUCUAUACGGUUUUCAGCACUAUCUUUCAAUGUUGGGUUCAUUGAUUCUCAUUCCACUCGUCAUAGUUCCUGCCAUGGGUGGCUCUCAUGUGAGUGGCUUCUUACUAUUCCCAAUUCAUAAGUCUUAUAUAUCUUAGCUGUGGCUAUUUUACUGAUUGAAUUUAAUGUGUGUAGGAGGAUACUUCAAACGUGGUAUCAACGGUGCUUUUUGUAUCAGGAGUGACUACAUUGCUGCAUACAUUUUUUGGGUCAAGAUUGCCUCUUAUACAAGGUUCAUCGUUUGUUUUCCUUGCUCCAGCAUUGGCCAUAAUCAACUCCCCAGAGUUUCAGGGUCUGAAUGGAAACGUAUGCAUCUCUGGUUUUGUGUUUUUAAUCAUUCCUUUUAUACAGACAUACACAUAAUGCAACCUUCCGAUAAGAUAAUAUGAUUCCCUUAUUGUAAAAUUACUAAUACAUAUUUAUAUAUUUGUUUAUUAACUUGCAUACCCAUUGAAGCCCAAAACCAAGACCUGAGUCUUAGGAAGGCCGUUUCUUACCACAGGAGCUAGAACUUAGGCUUCAAAUUCUCAUAUAUUUUAUUUCAUCUUAAAAAGCUUAUUUUAUUAAUUUGCUAUACGGUGUAAUCCUACAUGUUAACUGCAUGACCUCAUUGAGCUCAAACAUAAGAUUCAAGGUGCUUAAUUGACUUCUGCAUAUUAUAUACAGGACUGAUUCAUCAGUUGCAUAUCUGAUUCAUCAUUUGCAUAUCUGACCUAAUAUUUUCCAAUCAAAUACCAGCUCUUGUAUUUGCAAUUUUCUGUAGUCUCAUUGCAAGUCUAAUUUGCCACACUUAAGGUACAUCUCCUCUAUAUGUGGAGCCAUGGAGCAAUUAGAUUUGCUGAAAACAUUCUGAAGAUCAUUGGGCUACAAUUGGUUUAAGGGAAAGGAAGGAUAUUUGUUAAUUGGUGUGAAUUAUAAGCAAUUUAGAUCUUGAAAUUGUGCUAGUUGCUUGUUUGAGCUUCCUCAGAUGCGAAUAUAAUUAUAAUUAAAAUAAUUCUUGAGCAGGUUCAAGUAGAAUAAAAGUUACUGACGAUAGUACCGUAUUGCUUUAUAGAAGAGGAUUUUCCUCCUUUUUUUGCCCUGUUCAGUUUGCUUCUCAUUUACUAUGAAUGUUACAACAAUUAGGCUUUAGCCAAGCUUUGUCCUUUCUAUCAAAUUGUUUUAAGAGUUGUGUUAAAUCACUUAACAUGGCAGAAUUUCAAGCAUAUUAUGAAGGAGUUACAAGGAGCUAUUAUCAUAGGCUCAGUUUUUCAAGCUUUUCUUGGAUAUAGUGGACUGAUGUCAUUGCUUUUGAGGUAUGCUUUUAGCAUUUCUCAUUUAAAUUUUUUUAUUAAUUUCUUUUCCUGCUUUCUCAGUUGUUAAACAAGAUGAAUUUAAUUUAUUCUUGUUGGUUAUCAAUGAGGAUUUGAUAAAUUAUAAUUUUAUAAUAUAUGUCUCAUUUAGAAUGCUAUUGCAUGAGAUUCAGUGAUGAUGACAAGAACUGUUUUUAAGAUAUUUGAAAAUUGAAAUUAUUUUAUGUCUACUGGUCGCAGGCCAGUAGCUGUAGCUAUUCCUUUAAGGGUAUGGGUGGAAUGCUGUUGGAAAUCUUUAAAGAAAUGCUUCUUUAUGUUCCCAUAUACCCAUCAGAAGUUAUAGGUUCAUUUAGGGUCAUUUUAUUCAACUGCUGUUUCCAAACAUGAGGGGGAUGGGAUGGGAUAUGAGAUUAUUUUGGUAUGAGUCAUUGAUGCUAUGUUAUUGUAUGUGUUACUCGUGUACUGAAAGGGAGAAUGGAGAAAGUACUAGUGUGGAGGAGAAAAUGGUCUUUGACUCUAGAAUAAAUUAUAUUUGAGUACUCUUGUGUAUCUCACGGUUUCUUCCUUUUGUUUCAUUAAAGUAUGUGGCAGUGAACAUUAAUAGUGUGGUGGUAUCAAGGGGACAACCUUGCUGGUUUCCCCUCUUGCAGUGGACCUUGGAAGUUAUUUAUUUAAUUUGUGCUUGUCCAAGGGGCUGGAUUGGCUGGGGUGUGUUAGAAAAAACCCAAAGGAUUGGACAUUUUCGGUGGACUUAUUCCUUACGUACUCAGCUGAUAUAAUAUAUGUUUGUACAAGAACAUUCUUGUACCAGCUUCAUCAAAAUUUGGGGAAUCUUCUGGGUCUUGUUAUAUCAAUUGGCUCAUUGUCCCUAGUGUUAGGUGAUGACAGUUAAAUAUAAACAGAACAGGGGUUAAAAAGAAAAUUUAGGUAUUAAACAUCUCUGAACUCUAAUAAUGUAAAUCCACCAAUUGGCUUUUUAAAAUUUCUUGGAUUAUACUUAGUGUCCUUUAUUUGGGAAAAAAAUUUGCAAGUAUUUAAAAAAACAAGUUUAUCAUUUUAUAUUAAAAUAAGAACUUUUUGGGAAAAAGUUCUUUUAGGGUAAUACCGUCUUUUUAUAGUUCAACAUUAUUCAUACCCCUUAAACUAGGCAGUAGCUAAUGGUUGGGACUAAAAGUGAUGUUUCAACUUGUAAGGAUCAAACUGAUGUUGAAGCAAAUCGAAGGGUACCUGGAUGUUAUUUUCCUAUUCUUUACUGAGGGAUUUGUGUUAGGCUGAGUUGAUUAGUUCAUUUCAUUGAACUUCCUUAUGGUGAUAACUCAGUUUUUGGUUGUGGCUGCAACCUUGAUAUGGUGCUAGUCUAUAGAUAAAGAAUCGGUUACACAACCAUUUUUCUCAAGAUGCCAAUUCAUAUAUUUUUGAAGAUCAUCUUGUCUUUUUGAAGAGUUGCAAGUAUUAAGUGAAAAAAUAGUAAAGCUUAGGAAGAAGUAAAAAGGAGCAUUUAAGAUUGAGGAGAAGGGAAAAAGAAACAGUAUCCUUUAUUACCAUUGUCUACUUAACACUUGCUACACAUGCCUAUGUCUAGGCAUAAACAUUUAUAAGAUAGAAACAUAAAAUUCUAAUCUAAUAUAACCAUAGAAGUUGCAGAUAGGCUUAAUCCAAGAUAAACACAGGAAUACAAAUACCCAAAAUACAUAACUAAAAAGUAAAGAUAACAGUUAAGCUAAAAAAAUUAAACAUGGGUAUAUAGGUCUCUAGUAGAAUAUCUAUCUAUGCAGUCACUUGAAAAAGUGAAUAAUCUAAUCUGCUUGUUCUUUUCAGAUUGAUCAAUCCCGUGGUUGUUGCCCCAACCAUUGCUGCCGUUGGACUUUCUUUUUACAGUUAUGGUUUUCCACUUGUUGGUACCUGCCUUGAGAUUGGUGUAGUGCAGAUAUUGUUGGUGAUUCUUUUUUCUCUGGUAAGUUCAGUUGCAAUAUUUCUACCGAUAAUGGGUUUUCACGUGAUCUCUUUUGUAGUACUACUGUUAGAUUGUGUUUUUUUUAGUAAUUUUAGUGUAUAAUAUAUUUUUGCCUUGUAUUGUGUUUUAAAAUUUGAAUUCUUGUUUUCAUACUUUCUACAGUACCUUCGCAAGAUAUCUGUUAUUGGACAUCGCAUAUUUCUCAUUUAUGCGGUAAGUUCAUGGUUGCAAAUUUAUGCAUCCAAUACCUAUGAAGCAGAGUUUAUUUACAGCAUAUGUUCUGUAGUGGCCAUCUCAUGCACAAGUCUUGUGAGUCUAAUGACCUGUCUUUGCUGAAUUGCCAGGUUCCGCUGGGUCUGGCAAUCACUUGGGCUGCUGCUUUUCUUUUGACUGAAACAGGAGCCUAUAACUACAAAGAAUGUGAUGUAAAUGUACCUGUCUCCAAUAUAAUAUCCGAGCACUGCAGAAAGCACGUUUCUCGGAUGAAGCAAUGUCGAGUUGAUUCCUCUCAUGCAUUGAAGUCUUCCCCAUGGUUUAGGUUUCCUUAUCCACUGCAAUGGGGAACUCCUGUUUUCCACUGGAAAAUGGCAGUUGUAAUGUGUGUGGUGUCCGUAAUUGCAUCAGUUGAUUCGGUUUGUCUCAUCUUUCUUCUAUUGCUUACGAUAUUAUUGAAAAUUUUUAUUUCCUGACAAUUUGAACUUAAAUUGGUUGCAAAUGCUACUUUUUUAUGGUAAUUUGCACUAUACCAGUGUGAAAAAUAAUAUUUGUGUUUGAUAUUUGAAAGGUCCUAAAGUUGCAUACAGUAUAAGAGUGCUAGUUGAGAUAUGGCUCAUAUUGAUAGAGUCGAAGUAAUAUGUUGCUGACCUCCCAAAAUUAAGAAAGGAAAAUCAGAAAAUUUUUAAUAUUGCCUUAACGAAAGGUCCAAAGCAUAUACAAACAAAUGUAAUGUCUUUUUUUUUUUUUUUGGCUAGUGUAAUUUUGAUUAGUUUGCAAUAUUGAAAAGCAUAGCUUAUAUAAGAGACAUUGCCUCAGAAAACUGCUUCCUGGAGAUUGCAUUUAAUUAACAUCAAAUGAAAAUCUAUAUUUGAGUGUGAUGGAUGGAUGAUGAAUCAUAAAGUUAGAUUGGGUUUUACACCAAGUUUUCCAUUGUCUUUGCGUCGCCACAACUUUUUGAAAGUUUAUGAGUACAUAAUUUAGCAAAACUGACUUUGAAAUCCUCAAGAAUUGAUGAUGCUGAUGUCUUGAUUGGUCCAAAAUAUUCAUGUGCAGUCGCCUUAAAAAUACGAAAAACUUCAUACUUGGAUGCGAAAUAUCUUGAUUACUGCGGUCCUAAUUUGCUUUGGUUUUUAACUUCUUAGGUUGGCUCGUACCAUGCAUCAUCACUGCUAGUGGCAUCUAGACCUCCAACCCCUGGUGUUUUAAGUCGAGCAAUUGGCCUUGAAGGUCUAUGUAGUGUCUUGGCUGGCCUUUGGGGAACAGGAACAGGGUCCACAACUUUAACCGAAAACGUGCACACUAUCGCUGUGACAAAAAUGGGAAGCCGCAGAGCGGUUGAAAUAGGUGCUGGAAUUUUGAUAGUCUUAUCUCUCAUAGGUAAGUUCAAUCAUCUUUCCAAAGUCACUGGGUGAGAAACUGAGAAUGAAAACUAUAAAAUCAAAUGUUUACUGUUCUGACUGAAUACUUGAUUGCGCCAUCUGCUGUGUUCAGCAUACCAAGUUUGUUGUAAGCGGUGCGUGUGUAGUUCAAAUAACUGUUUAUCCCUUGUAAUCAAAUGGUUUCGAUAAAGUCAAAAAGUAACAAUCAAUAUUGCCAACUCGCCAACUCUCUACACCAUUGGAUGCAGUAGAGGUUGGCAUGUAUGGAAUCUGGCCACCAUAUUUCGAAUGGUUACAUAUAAAUCCCGGAGCAUCCAUAAUGUCUAAUGCUGACACUGAAGAAAGCACAAUUUUAUGGAAAGUACACAACAAUAGGAUUGUGUAACAUGUUACAUUACAUGCCUUAUCUUCUAUGAACCCAAAUCUUUUUUAAAUUUUAAUCGUGUUGCUGAUUGCUUGCGUGCAGGUAAAGUUGGAGGCUUCAUCGCAUCAAUUCCCCAAGUCAUGGUGGCUGCUCUCCUCUGUUUCAUGUGGGCAAUGCUGGCAGCAUUAGGACUAUCUAAUCUACGGUAUAGUGAAGCUGGAAGUUCUCGUAAUAUUAUCAUAGUUGGGCUAUCUUUAUUCUUUUCUCUGUCCAUACCCGCCUACUUCCAGCAAUAUGGCAUCUCUCCAAAUACCAACCUGUCUGUCCCAAGUUACUUUCAGCCAUAUAGUGUGGCUUCUCAUGGACCUUUCCGCAGCAAAUAUGGAGGGGUAUGCAUCUUUCAGACCUUUCUGGAACUAGUAACAUAAUGAACUUUUGCAGCAUCGUUUCUGGAGAUUAUUUUUAAGACUUCAAUUUGAUUAUUAACAUCUUUUAUCCAUCACAAGUUUUAGAUGGUCAUGUCAUAUUUAUUCAAGAAAUAUAACAUGGUUCAAUUCUUUGGUCAAAGCUGCCGAAACUACUCUAUUUCUACCAGUAGCAACUGACACAUGCUCGAUGGUCCAUCUUUUAUUUUUAAGGAUUUAUAUUAAGACACCAUGUCUGGAACUCAUAAAAUGGUUAGCUAAAGUAUUUGAGUGUGGUCUUUUGUUUCUUAGCCGAAAUAAGGUUUUCCGAGUGUGGCAUAAUAACCAAUUCUAAUAAAAUGUGCAGGUGAACUAUGUUAUGAACACUUUACUAUCACUGCAUGUGGUCGUUGCAUUCCUCUUUGCUGUUGUCUUAGAUAAUACAGUGCCUGGCAGUCGGCAAGAACGUGGGGUGUAUGAGUGGUCCGAAACUGAGGCUGCAAGGAGGGAGCCAGCUAUUGCCAAAGAUUAUGAAUUGCCGUUCAGAGUUGGUAGGGUUUUCAGAUGGGUAAAAUGGGUUGGGCUUUGAGAGAAAAUGUGCUUUUUGUUGGUGCUUCGACCAUCUUCACGUUGUCAAGCUCAUCAAUAGCCAUUCCUGGGGGAUUAUUGUGCCGCUUGCCGCAUUCUAAUCCUACACUUAAGUCCCUUAGGCUCGCACGGUAAAUAUUUUUCUUCGAACCUUUUUUCCCCCCUUCCCCCUCUUCACACGAUGGACUUCUUGGACUAUAUAGGUCUUAUAGAGUUGAGUUAUUUUUGUACAUUGAGGAUCCAUAGGGAUCUCUUAUUGUUGUAAUCUUAAAUUCUAAACGUGUAUGUAAUUGCCCAGGGUGGCAUUUUACUUUUCAAGAAAACAUUGAGAAACGGUCUUUGCCAUGUAUAUUUUUUCCCAUCAUUUUUUCUGUUGGCUUCUUUUAGUGAGAGUGAAAUCUGCAUUAUGAAUGCAAUUUUAUAUCUAUCUUUCAAUUUCAGUUAUCCAUUAACUAUAUUGGAUUGGGAAUGGUAUUCAACGUGAGCAAUAAUCUGAAAAUUCAUACAUUUUUUUUUUCCAUAAUAUUAGAGCAUUAUUUCCUCUUGGGACAAACUCAAAUUAUACCUUCAAAACAGUAUCCAGUUCCUAUUUUUUUUAUUGAUACUUACCGAGUAAAAAUAUAUUGAUCAUCUUUCUUAGUCAAUUCAUACAAACACAUUCAUAUUAUGUACUUGACGCUUAUAAACUAUCAUAAUUCAUUUUGUUUGCACCAAAGAUUGAAGUAAAAUUUAUAAAAACAAUCUAAUCCUAAGUUUUUUUCUAUAUUAUCUCUCAACCACACUCACCCUUCGGGUAAUAACAACUGGGUCCUCGAAUUUGUUGAUCUGUGUUUUUCUUUUGAAAUAUAUCCCUAACAAGGUAACAUUAUGUAAUGCUGACUGAUAGAUCAUCAUCAUCAUCAUUAUUUUUACGCUAAAAGAAAAUUAGAUUAAAGAUUAACAAAAAUUAUAUGAGAAAAAAGAACUAAUAUAAUGAGAGCUGAUCAGGGAGAGCGAUGUCGUCGAUGUGAUCAAAACUCUUGAUAUUAUAUAGUCACGCUGAUUUUACAUUUUUAAGAGUAUGACCUGUAUUUUGUCCGGUGAUGAUUUAAAAUGAUAGAAAAUUAUAAUUUGUUGAUGACUUUUUAUUAGUAAUAUUACAAACGAGGAUAUUCUCAUUAGAAAAUGAUUCAUAUAUAUAGAUGUAUAUAGAAUUCCAGCAACAUAUAUUCACCCCAUGUGUGGUUGCAGCUGCUUGGCACCAUCGAUCCUUCCUCGUUUUAAAUGCCAUUUUUCGUAUGUAUUUUUCAAUUCCAGGACCACCUCCGUAUAUAAUAUAUAAUACACACUUCAAGAAAGGGACGUGCCAUGCCCAUAACUUACUAUUAUUUUUCUCACAUCAUUAUUUAUUUAUUAUUGGAUCCCCCUAUCUUAUAAGAUACACUUCUCACAUGAACAGUACGUGAACCCCACACAUAUACCGUUCAUGUGAGGGAGAUGUAUCUUAUAUUAGUUGUAAGAUAGGGAUUGCCUUAUUAGAAAUUUGGGUCCUGGAAUCCAAACCAACUUUAACGAAAGUUAAUGAAAGUACCAUUUGACAUUUUUAAAAUGAGUGAUGAUACAGUCAUAAACUCUUGUAUAAACUUAUUUUGUAAAAACUGAUGUGACAUUAAUUUAUUGGUUGAAUGAAAAUAUAAAAUAAUAAAAAUAAAUCAUGUGGGUUAAAAGAUAUUUAAUUCAACCAAAUCACAUCAAUUUGUACAAGAUAAAUUUGUACAAGAGUUUGUGGCUAUAUCAUUACUCUUUUAAAAUAUGUUAAAAGAUAUUUAAUUUAAUCAAUUUUAUCAUGUCACAUCAAUUUAUAGAAGAUAAGUUUUUAAUAGGGGGUAAAAGAAAAGUGAUUGUAUAACAUAAUUUCCAAUUUGCAAGGCUGUGUGUUGCGGAAUAAUCAUCCGAAUUCCGCAUGCACUUCAGCUAAAAUGAAGGCGGUAUAAUUAUUAUAUUGGGAUCUUUAAAAAUAAGCUACACUUCAUUUGCUAUUGAACCAUCUUUGAUAACUUUUUUUAAAUAAAAAAUUAUUUUGGGUCUCCAAAUGCUACCAUAAAUUCUUAACAAAGGGAGAUCAACUAAUUGGCAAAAAUUCACUUUGUGUGUGUGUGUAUAUAUAUAUAUGCUAGUGGUGUGUGUGUAUAUAUUUGCGUAUUUAAAUUAAAUUCGUAAAUAAUUUUAUACCCAACCACUACCACUAGUACCGUUAUUCAUUAACCUCCAAAUGAAUGAAUAUAUACAUGUCUCGCUUACGAUUAAUGAUGUUGGACGUUAUUUUAAAAUUCUAAAAUUUAAAAAAAAAAAUAAAAGAGGAAUUUUUGUUAAUCAAAAGUUAUAAAAACAAUAACAAUAGGAUAAACUUUUUUUUCCCAAAAAAAAAAAUUAAAAAGAGAAACUAAAUCACAAUCAUAAUAAAAAUAAAAGACAAAAAUAUCUAUCAUAAUUGUCUUUGACUAAAAUUAAAAAAAAUUAAAAAAAAACUUAAAAUAAUAAAAUAUUAAAAUCUCAAAAUAAUGUCCUACAUCAAUUAAUCCUUAUAAUAUUGUAAUAUAAUGAAAAUUCAUUGGGAAGUUACAAGCUUUAGAUGUUGAUGAUUGUUGACCACCCACAUAGCAGCAAAUUGACUGCCCACUUAAUAAAUUAGAAACUUAGCUUAAGAAAAAUCUUGAACAUUUCUUAAGGGGCAUCGCCAAAAUGUAAGUUGAUUAAAGUUAAAAACUAGUUAGCUAAGCUGCUGGCUUCUGAAUUUGUGUUCUUAUUGUUUUGCGCAAGUACACGUCUCUUCGUAUGUUCCUUCAUUACAAUGAUUACAACACUUGCUUGAUUACUUGCAUACGAUUUCUUUUACAGAAAUUAGUGGAUUAUACACCCUGCCUUUAAUUGCUUCUUUAAUUUCAUUUAUCGGUUUUUAAUGAUGGUUUUUUAUACGUAAUUUGAUGAUUAUUUAAUGGGGUUUUUUUUGGGGCACGUGGCAGGAUGUGAUUAAGGUAUAUUUUCUCCAAAGAAUAUUAAGAGUUUUAGAAAUUGAUAAUCAGAAUAUGAACACCAAAAACGUAUACGUUAACAUUGACAAUUUUUUAAUAGCCACGACUAAAUCAUGUCGGUAUACAAAACCAGAAAUUUCUAAUUUCCUAUAUACACUCUGACUAAAUUCAAGAAAAUUUGGUUGUUGGGCCGAUUUUAUUUAUUUAUUUAUUUUUAUUAUUCUUGUUUCUUUUAGGGUUUUAAUUUUCUCACCAACCAAAGCACUUCUUAGGGUCAGGUUGAAGUUAGAAACAUUUGUUAAUUGCAAAAGAAAUAAAAGCAGAGAAUAAAGAUAAAAUGUAGGCAGUAAUAAGAAUAAAAAAAUAUUUAAUCCCUUUUAGGCCAUGAGAAGCUGCUGGGUAUGUCAAACUUUAUCUAGACGAUGUAAAUAAUCUAUAAAUAUAAUAAUUUUAGGUGACGGUAAACCAAAAAAUAUGCCCUAGUUGAUCAUGUGUUCAUAUUACAUGUAAACCAAUAAUUAACAAUCAAGUUCAAUUUAUUGUCUCUUAUUUUGAUUUUUUUUGGUUGAUGCAAUCAUAACAUGCCACCAUACGUGUUGACAUUGUAUGUUGGUGGGGACAUUAGAAUUUGAAUUAAUUGGUUCAAAUUUGUGUUGAAAUGCUUCACAACUACCUUGUAUCAUAUAUACCGCGGUUUAGUAAUAGACUAUCAUUCAUUGAAUUAAAAGGUUUAAUUAUUUGAAGCAAAAUCUUGAGUGAUUGUAGGGAUAAGAGACCAAAUUGCGAUUUCAUUUUCAAUAGCCAAUUGGUCUUAUAAAGAGAUGUCACACCAUUUUUGAGUUGGUACCACAUGUUUUUUCACCAAAAAAAAAAAAAAACAAUCAUCAUUUGGUGAAUCGUUCUAUUAGUCAAAAAGGACAAUCUUUCUUCUCAUUAUGUUUUGCCAUUUUGUUAGCGGUAUGUAUCAUGAAAUAUGGUCUUUGUAUGGGAUUAAGAUGAUGUAUCUUUUAAAAUAUAAUUGAUUGUCGUGAAAAAAAUAUUAUAACUAUAAAAUAGAAGUUAAUAAUUUACAGUAAAUAUAAAUUUUAAAUAAUAAUUUUGAUAAAAUUAUUAAAAAUAUAAUAGAUUUUUCAUGAUACAAGUAAAAAAUUAUAUCAACAUAUCUUCUAAAUUACAGCAGCUAAUGUUUACCAAAUACUUUAGUGCUGUAACUUUUAAACUAUAGCUGUCUAACCUCAAUCUCAAACGUACCCUAUGUCAAAUUUUAUCUUCAUUUGAUAAAACAUGAAAAUUGAAAAAAAAAAAUUACUGAAGAAUGUAAAUUGAAUUAUUAUACUCUUCAUCAUGUAACUGAAAUACUAAUAUUUUGGUAGUAUUUUGAGAAACUCCUUAACCUAGAGUUCUACCUGAGGAAGUUGGGUCUGCACUAACUAUGGAUUCUUCUAUUGUUACUAAUAAUCUACUUAGUUAAGAGUCAAAACUUAUUUACUUUAUCAUAUAGGAUUCACAUUCUUGUGUCGAGAUGCGACAGAUAUUAUCGAUUAUGGGCUUCAAGUGAGCUUUCUUCAUUUUCGUGAUUUUAUUUUUUAGUUCAAGUAAUCUUCUUUUUUGUUUUUUAAUCAAAAUGCAUCCUCCUAAUUUAUUUCAUGCUCAACUUCGUUAGCGAGAUAUUUGGGUAAAUGCUUGUUUAGUUAUCAUAUUUUAGGUUUAGUAUUCAUUUAGCCUUUAUAUUUUGAAAAAUGUCACAACAGGCAUAUGUUAUUAAUGAUGUUAUAUACUUGUGCCCUUACUUUUUUUGACUUUAACAAUAAUGAAUUUGCAAUAAUCUGGGGUUCAUAAUAUGAAAAUAAAUAAAAAUUUAAAUGACCAAAUUUACCCUAAAAGAAAAUAAAAAUUAGUAUAAAUUUUUUGUUAUCAGUUUACUUUUACGGUUAAUUUGAUAAAUCAAUAUUUUUAUAUCCUUUUCAUUAAUGUCUUCAAUAUUAUUAAAAGGGUAUAAUUAUAAAAACAAAAAAAGGGUAAGAUCAUAACUUUUUUUUUAAAAAAAAAGGGAGUCUUUGGAUAUGUUUUGCUUAAUCUGAAAUAUAAAACCUAAAAGGUCAGUCUAAUUGAUUGAGACCUCUUACAGUGAAAGCGUGAGGUUAAGUGACAUUGUUUCGCAAUAACUUAAUUUUCAGUCAAACAAACAACCCCCAAAGUUCGUUCUAUUAAAAUUAUUAAUCCUUGCCGGUCUCAAUUCAACUUUAUUUUAAGCUCUUCUCGUUUGGACAACUUUAGUUUAUAGUUUCAUCGCGUCCUAAUGUUUUUCCACAUUUUGUGUCUUUAUUACUCUUCAAAAAUUAAUUUAAUCACGUAAGUAAGCUUGACCGAUUACUGAAUUCUUGAAUGAUUUUUGUAUUGAUCUGGAGAGACAAAUGCUUUGUGAGUUAGCUUAUGCUUUGAGAAGAAUCAUUAGUAAAAGGGACAACAAGCUAGCAGCUAAGAAAAUAUAAAUCUCAGUACAUUACAGAAGAGAAUACACUGAAUAUGUAUAUUAUUUUAUCAUUUAAAUUAUUCCAUACUUUAACAAAAUAAAGAACCCAUUAUUAAAAACUUACUCUAUGAGAAGAAUCAUUACAAACUAAUGUUUAAUCCCAUCGUCUUUCAAUGUGUGGCUGCUGCAGUUUUGCCCGCCGGCCAGUUGCCCUCACUCGCAGAUCCACCGUCCACGUCCAAAACAUAUUCAUCUUUCAUUUCAAUUUUCAAGGACCACUUUCAUUCAUGUGUUAUAACUUCAGUACAGCGAUGCGAUGCGCCCAUCAAUUUUACAAUUACGAUUGUUUUUCUCGUGUUAUUUAUUUAUACGUUGUUUUUUCCCGCGCUGUUUCUUUGAAAAUUAGAUGCUUGGGGCUCAGUCAUGAGCUGUUACUGUCUGUUAACCGAGCACUUAUUUAUGUGUAUUUUUUAUCCAAUGCCGAGGUCCACAUGUUUGUAUGAUUCAAAUAAAAAGGAAAUUACAAAUUUUAAUACGCUACAAAAACACGAGCAAUACCAAAAAAAAAAACUCACGAUUUUCUGUGGUUUUAUGUAUCGAAUUACUAAUAACUAAAUUCUAUUAUUAAAACUUGUAUUUUAUAAAAUCCCAAGUUUUACACAUGCACACACAUGAACAUACGUAUUAUUUGUUGUGAUUGAAUUCAGAACAACACUUGACGAUCUUCAUUAUCUUUCACGAUUCACCACGUAUUUCUAUUACAAUAGAGAGAUAUAUAAUCACGUUUUAGGUUUUGUUUUUAGUUUAUUUUGGUAUUGAAACUACUAAAGUUUCUUUUAAGAGUCAGAUAAACUAACCGGCAAAUUAGAAUUAAUCACGCACAUGCAUGCGAUCUACCCGCUAGAUUCGGCAUAGCAGCCAAAGUUUGAACAUUUGUUUUUAUAGACAACACCUUAAUCAACAAACUUGAUGAUCGUACAUUUUUUUUUUUAUGUAUAACACCUUACAACUUAGUCAUACAUAUUUUUUAUAUACGACACCUUAAUCAAAAUAACACUUGACGAUCAUCAUUAUCUUUCACGAUUCACCACGUAUUUCUAUUACAAUAGAAAGAUAUAUAAUCACAUUUUAGGUUUUGUUUUUAGUUUAUUAUGGUCUCGAAACUAAAAAUUAAUUUCUUUUAAAAGUCAGAUAAACUAGCCGGCAAAUUAAAAUCAAUCAUGCACAUGCAUGCGAUCUGCCAGCUAGAUUCGGCAUAGCGGCCAAAGUUCGAACAUAUUUUUUUUAUAGACGACACCUUAAUCAAUAAAUGAUUUAGUUUGUUAAUAAUUUGAGAUUUGCUAGCUAUCAUUUUGCAUUUAAUAAAGUUCCCGGUGAGGUGGCCACAUGAUAUUUGAUACCCCAACGAAGAUUUUGCUUAAUUUUGUAUUGCACUAUCUAAGUAGCUGACCAUGUGCUUGUAUUCUCAUUCUCAAGAUAUUUAUAACCAACUUUAAAAAAUAAAAAAAAAGUUGUAUUAAAAUCUGCAAAGUAUACAAACAUUGACUAUGAUUUUAAUUCAAGUUAUAUUGGAAAUUGUGAGAGAUUUUUAAUACGAUCACAUGAUGUAGUCUUUCAUGUCUUUUCUGGUUGUCGAUCCUAUUAUCUUAAAAUAAAUUUUGUCAAAUAAAAUGUAGAUUUAUUUUAUAGUUAUAUUUAAUUAAUAUGAUAUCUUUAUACUAUAAAAUAAUAGAGCCAAUUUUUUAGGCAAUAUGGAUGUCUCCACGGGAUACGCAUGUAUGUAUCCGGACAUAUUAUAUUCCAAAAUUUUUAAAAACAACAAUAAUUAUCUUUGUGCUGUACUUAUAGGUGGCCUUACACCACUUUCCUAAGUUAAUCCCACAUGCUAAUCCAUGUGGGAUUUCUUCCCUAAUUAUAUCAUCAGGGUGCUAAUUAAACGCUAAAUAACAUACAAAAUCAUUAAUUAGGCCGCAUUAUAUAUAUUUCACAACACCUUGAUUCUUUUCGUUGUGAUAUUUUUGAAACUUUUAUUUGAAUACUUGGAAAUAUUAUUAUACUUUGUCAAUUCCCACAAAUGAAAAACAAAAUCGGCAGUAAACAAAUUAUUAACACUAUUAUCUAAUUAUACAUAGUGAUUUAUUUAGAUUUCGUGUAUAUUCAAUUUUCUAAUGACAAAAACAAAUGAUACCUAAUAUUAUGUCAACGACCGGAAAAAAAAAAGAAAAAAACAGUUCCAAUGCUUUAGAUGUGGUUAUUAACUUUUAUUUUGAGUGUGUGUCUUAAUUGGAUGGUUUGUCUAAUAAAUAAUGUCAGAUUCUUUCUUUUUUUAGUAUCUAUCUAUAUCUAUAUAUAUAUAUAUAAAGUUGAGACUUGAGGAGGUGAUGUGGCAUCACCAUUUCACUUCUUUGUAUAUUUUCUAUUAUCUAAUAAAUAGAGAGUUUUUUUAAUUUCAUCUUCUCAUAAUUAAUUUAAUUAUAUUUAACUCAUUUAAUAAAUAGUAACUUUAUUAAUAUAUUUAUCAUUCCUCAUCUUUUUAUAUUUUCUAUUAUCUAAAAUAUCUAAAAUAUUGGUAGAUAUUUUUUGUACUUUUUUUUUCUCUUUCUAUUUAAAUUCAACAAUAUGUAAUCAUUAAUAAUAAUUAAUUAUAAGUCUUUUGAAACAUUUAUUUAUUUUAUUAUGCUAGCAAUUAAACUUUAGUGGCUUAAAAUAUAUGAAUUAAUUAACAUAGGAAAAGAGGUUCUUUCAUUUUCCCUCAACAAUGCCACUAAGACCUAAUUUUAAUGCCAUAAUCCCAUAUUUAAUUAUGCAACCUUUUGUUGAGUGUCUUUUGGCUUCUUCAAAAUUUAUUAUGCUAUUAAUUAAACUUUAGUGCCUUCAAAUACAUCACCUAAUUAACAUAGGAAGAGAGGUUCUUUCAUCUUCCUUCAACCUCAUCUUUUUAUAUUCUCUGUUAUCUAAAAUAUCUAAAAUAUUGGUGGAUAUUCUUUGUACAUAUAUCAUAUUAUGACACUAAAAAAAUAAAGAUAUCAAUUAAUAUAUAAUUAUCUAAUAAAUUUGUUGAAAUUAAAAAAUAAUUACAUUAUAAAAUAUUAAAAUAGAAAAUAAUUAUUAGAUUAUAAAUGAUUUCAUGUCUUUUCCUCUUUCUAUUUAAAUUCAACAAUUUGUAACCAUUAAUAAUAAUUAAUUAUAAGUCUUGAAACAUUCAUUUAUUUUAUUAUGCAAACAAUUAAAUUUUAGUGGCUUAAAAUACAUCAAUUAAUUAAUAUAGGAACGAAGGUUCCUUCAUCUUCCCUCAACAAUGCCAUUAGAGCCUAAUUUUAAUAAAAUAAUCUCAUAUUUAAUUAUUCAAUCUUUUGUUUAGUACCUUUUGGCUUCUUCAAACUCCAUAAACAUUAAAUAUUUAAGAUUUGUGGCAUCAUUAUUUCUCAUCUUUUUGAAUUCUCUAUUAUCUAAUAUAUUGGUUGAGAUUAAAAAAUAAUUACAUUACAAAAUAUUAAAAAUCUAUAUCUAUCUAUCUAUAUAUAUAUAUAUAUAUAUAUAUAUAUAUAAAGUUAGGACUAGAGGAGGUGAUGUGGCAUCACUAUUUCUCAUCUUCUUGUAUUCUCUAUUAUCUAAUAAAUUGGUUGAUAUUAAAAAAAUAAUUACAUUACAAAAUAUUAAAAAUAAAAAAUAAUUAUUAGAUUAUAAAAGAUUACAUGUCUCUUCCUCCUUCUAUUUAAAUUCAAUAAUAUGUAACCAUUAAUAAUAAUUAAUUAUAAGUCUUGAAACAUUUAUUUAUUUUAUUAUACCAACAAUUAAACUUUAGUGGCUAAAAUAUAUCAAUUAAUUAAUAUAGGAAGGAAGGUUCCUUCAUCUUCCCUCAACAAUGCCAUUAGAGCCUAAUUUUAAUGUCAUAAUCUCAUAUUUAAUUAUUCAAUCUUUUGUUUAGUGCCUUUUGGCUUCUUCAAACUCUAUAAAUAUUAAGUAGUUAAGAUUUGUGGCAUCAUUAUUUCUCAUCUUUUUUUAUUCUCUAUUAUCUAAUAUAUUGGUUGAGAUUAAAAAAUAAUUACAUUACAAAAUAUUAAAAAUAGAAAAUAAUUAAUAGAUUACAAAAGAUUACAUGUCUCUUCCUCUUUCUAUUUAAAUUCAACAAUAUGUAACCAUUAAUAAUAAAUUAAUUAUAAGUUUUGAAACAUUCAUUUAUUUUAUUAAGCCAACAACUAAAUUUUAGUGGUUUAAAAUACAUCAACUAAUUAAUAUAGGAAGGAAGGUUCCUUCAUCUUCCCCUACCAAUGCCAUUAGGACCUAAUUUUAAUGUUAUAAUCCUAUAUUUAAUUAUGCAACUUUUUAUUUAGUGUCUUUUGGCUUUUUCAAACUCUAUAAAUAUUAAGCAUUUAAGAUUUGUUAUGUUUAAGUUUUUUUUUUAUUUAACGAACAUCCUCUUUAAAAAUGUUAUUGUGUUUUUAUUUUUUGACUUAUUUAAAUUUUUAGUAUUGUGUGCUUCAUGGAGUACUCUUUUCUUCAUGAGUUAAACAAUGAUAAAGAUAGUUGGAUGAUAAGGGUUAGGAUUUGUAAGAUGUGGGAGUCUGUUAAUACCAAGAAAAAUAUAGAGUUGAUUAGUGUGAACAUGAUUGUUAUUGAUUAAAAAGUUGUGUACACUUAACUAUACACAUUAAUAUUUUUUUUAAUGUUAACAAAAAAAUAAUAAACUUUCAUAAAUAACAUUAGUUUUCUAAGGCUUCGUCAUCUUUAAAAAAAAAAUUCAUAUUUUUUAUCAAUUUCAUCGAAUGCAACGUAAUAAAAAAAGAUAAUACUAAAUUUUUUUUUUAAAACCGCACGAAGUGCGGUUUUAUUUCCUAGUUACAAAAUAAGCAAGGCUAAAGAGAGAGAAAAACUAGAGAAAGACGAGAGAAAAUGAGAGAAUUUUACUCUCUCUCUCUAUCCAGCCCACUUUCUCUCUCUUUCUUUUCAAUACACUUUCUCUCGUCUUUCUCUUUCUUUAGUAUUUUACAAACCCAACUAGUUGCCGCCCACAUGUUAGAUUUUAAAAAAAAAAAAUUCUCUUCUUUUUUCUAAUCAUUAACACUUCUUAUUUGAGGAGAGAAAAAAAAAACUAGCGUUAUUGACUUGUUUUAAAAUGAAUGAAUAUCCAAUAAAAUUAAUGUGUUGCUUCAAAACCCAAAUUAGUUUAUUUUACCUCUAUUUCUCUUAUAAUUUAAAUUCAGAUGCUUUAUCGGUUAAGCUGACUAUACAUAGCAGCAAAUUAAUUAAUUUCUAAAGAAAGUUCCAUUCCAGCAUAGAUAAAUGACAUAUUAUCUUUUGUAUUAUAUCAUUGCUUUAGAAAAUUAAAUUAAAUAAUGAACUCUGAACAUUUCUUAAGGGACAUUACCAAACUAGUGAAGUUGUUUAUUAUUAUUAUUAUUAUCCGUGAAGUUUAAAAUGUUUAAAAAUUAAAGUAGAUUUUUUGGUAAUUUAAAAUUUCAAAUCUAGUUUUCUUGUUUAAAUUCUUCUCCAAGAAUAAAACUGCAUUAUCCGUAGUAUCUCCCACUUCCAUAAUACCAAAAUAAAGCAAAUCCAAGGAACAAAAGACAGAAGGGUGAAUUUAAAGAGACUGAAAGUUUAACUCAAAACUUCCAAAAGUUAUAUCAUAUAUUCCAAAAGAAAUUCCAAAAAUUUGAAUGCCUGACAAAUAACUAGGAUAAUAAUUAGAGAAAGGUCUAAAGUUUAUAAUCAUUGGAAAGAGGAGAAUUGAAUUGGAAAUCAAAAGCUUGACCUUUUUAUACAGGCAUUGCAUCCAGAUAGAGAUAAAGCAGCAAACUAACUAUUCUCACGACUGUACACGAGUCCUCAAGGCCGCAUGACUGCAUCUUGGAGAUGACAGAGAUCAUAAAGAUUUGAUUUGAACGAUUAUUCUUUCAUGCAACACAGGUCACGAUAUUCACACAUAACUCAAAAAUCAAAAUCAAAAUAAUGGCGAUUUCUUCCGUUUCUGGACAUGUGGCAUGGCGUGACUGGCGUUUACUUCUUAUAAAUGACAUGUUACGUACGUUGAGUGUAUUUUGUCCAAAGACUACGGAAUCAAAAUUGACCUUGCAUGAAGGCCAAAAACGUGUCAACAGACAACGUUACUGUGUAGACCUUUCCCAUUCAACUACUGCUCGACCGAAUCUUCUUCAUGCAAAUUAAAUUAUACCCCAGUCAAUGGUGCACGUGUUGUUCGAAUUUUUAACAACUUUCAUAAUUAAUUUCCCGAGCAAAUUACUGAAUUGUGGUAGUUGAGCCAUUCGGCAGCAAAUUUUCUUUUUCUUUCUUUCUUUCUUUUUCUUCCUUCUUGUUUGGGUUGAUUUUCUCACCUACUGCCCUCGCUGCCGAGUGCCGUGUAAUUUCAUCAAAGUUUACCUACAAAUUAAAGUACUUCUUGGGAUAAAGUUGAAGUUACAGUAUAAUUAUUUGUUUAUUCAUUUUUAUCGAUGAAUGGGAUUAUGAGAACAGGAGGUGGAAGAAAGAAAUAAUUAUAAAAAUUUGAUAAAUUAAUGCUUUUUGGGGUGUGAUUGAAACAUUUCUGAUUCAGGAUGUUAUAUAUUAUAUUAGGACAAAACUACGUUACAGAAUCUGUAAGGUACAGACUGCAGCAUCAGCCGUUGGAUGUGGUUGGAUGUGGAGUGAGAAACUAAACAAAAGAAAAUCGGAUGGUGGGAUGACGGGAGAUGUUUGUUACACAAUCUGUAACAUAGACAGGUCCAUUAUAUUAUAUCAUUUAAUUUUAGGUCAUGAUUAUGGACCAAAAAGUAAAUGGGUGGCUUCCAAGUUUACAAUAUGUCUGCAAACUAACGAUUCAAUUCAAAAUAUUGCUAUCCACUUUCUUUGUUUUCUUAACGUAACGAUAACAUCUGUCAAUAUAAGUGUUGAAAUUGUAUGUUUUGGGGAACAUUAGUGGGAACGUUAGGAUUUGAAUUGAUUAAAAAAUAGUGCCGAAUUAAUUCCACUCAAGUCCCAAUCAACCUGCUUAUUAUGGAAGUUGAGGAAUGAUUUUUUUUAUUUUUUUUGGAGAAAUGAAGGAUAGGAAUAAAAUUAAUUUAUCGACCUUCAUGAAUCGAAUUCGAAGUUUCAAAAUUUGAAGUAAUCGCAGAGAUUACUUGACGAAUUGGAAACGAAAUAAGAACAAAAGUUUUAAAAUGAUAAUGAUUAGUGAUUAAAAAAAUUGUUGAUAAAUGAAGGGGUUAUCCCUUUUAUACAUAAAAAACGAAAUAACCGAAAGGAAAAAAAAAUACAUAAUAAAAAUUUAAUGACUGAAAUUUUUAAAAAAAAAAAGAGAGAGAAAAAACACGUAAUUCUCACGUUCAUAAAUAAAAUUAAAAAUUCGGAAACAAGCCUAAAAAUUAGAUAAUAGUCUUCAAACUUUAACAAGCCUAAAAAAAUUUGGUAAUAGUCUUCAAACUCUAAUUUUAGGUCCAAAUAAACAGAAUUUAAGAAUACAUAUACAUUCUUAUUUUCGUAAGCUUCGAAAAUGUAUAUAAUACACCCAAAAUAAACGUCUAUAAAUCAAGUUACAGCCCUCAUAAAAAUGUAAAAGUCGUGUCCUGCAUUAUUAUUUCGAAAAACAACAAGGGUUUGUGAUCAUUUUCCCCACACUAGCACAAGAUUAUUAAUCUCUUUAAGCACAAAGAGUUUAGUAUUUUCGCUAUUUCAAUUCCAGCAAACCCUCUAAAAAUUUUAAAAUUAAAAUCACAGGCAAAUGAAAUUAUCUAACUCUGACCCCUUUAAAUUGAGGGUUUCGGUGCCUUUCGAAAUAAUUAGUUUAAAGUGAAAAUAGCCUAACCUUUUGGUAUAUAUAAUUAUCAAAUCAAAUUAAAUUCAUUACACAAACUAAUUAAGAUUUGGUUUAAAGAAUACUAGUUUUAGUAAUCUGGUACAAGUAUUUUGAAGUAGCCGACAAAUAAAUUCUUUAUUUUUAUAUUACUUGACUUAAGAAGAUAUAAUUGAAUCUGUAUCCCGGAAGCAUUUAUUAGUGUUUUCAAGUUUUUGCACAAACAGCUGUCAAGUAUCUUAACAAAAUAUCAAACUCUUAUUCUAAAUUAUCCCAUUGAAAAGUGUUUUUGGGCAAGGCUUAAUUAUUAUUGUAAUUUUAUUUGGUUGAUAUUUAAUGCAUCAGUAUAUUUGAGGCAGGGAAACAUUUCAUUUUCAGAGGACAAGUGAUGUUAUAAAGAGAAAUGAUAUCCUUCACAACUUUAUGCCAACGUCGUCUCAACUUUAUGUCUUGUUAUUUUACACGAAAAGAAACAACAAUUGUCUAUUUGUGAACAUAUUUUUUUUUUUUCUAGAAAAUCUUCCCAGUUGCCACAAAAUGCUUUUCAUUCAAUAAUUUUACGAACAUACGUAGGAACUAUGAACUUAGGUCAUGUUUAAAAGCUUCUGUUUGCAUUGUUAGGGUGUUCUUCGGUGUCAUUAUCUGAAAAUGAUAUUCUCCUAUAUCGAAAUUUUAAGUAAUUAAAAAUAUAUUUCCUUUUGCUUUUGGAAAAAUGGAAUAUAUAAAAUAUAUAUGAAACGUAAUUCUACAAUAUAAUUUAGGGUCAGUUUUGUAAUACUGUAACAUUUAAGAUAAGGGCGGAGAUAUUUGUAAAAGAGUUGUAGAAUUAAUUAGAUGCAAAACGAAUCGGUUAAAUGUUUAGUAAAUUUUAUUUUUAAGAGUGUAGAGAGUUUUAAAAGUAGUUAUAUGUGUUUGAUAAUUAUUGUAAGAAUAUAGAUUACUAAAAUUAUUUUUUUCCACAACUGGUUAUUUCUUUUAAUUUACCAAACACCUACCCGAUUGUCCUUAUAAUUGAUUAUUUCUAUAACACGCUUAAUAUUAAUUAGGGAAAUUAUCCACCGACCACUUGUUCUUUCCGAUUUUUAAAAAAAUACACAUAUCAUAUAUUUUUUUUAGUUGAUUUCUACUAGAAGUUACAUUUUCUUACACUUUUCCACUUCCGUUUGCACAGCAAAAAUCAACGUCAUUUAAACGCGGUAGAAAGAGGAAAAAAAGGUAAAAAUAUUCCAGAUUAUUUUGUUUUACUUAUUAUCUAAUGUCUAAAUUGCAAAGAAAAAUUGAACUAAUUUAAUUUUUUUAUUUAAUUAGGGUGAAAUAAUAAUUUACAUUAAGGGGGUAAAAUAGUCAUUUUGUUAAUAUCUUUUUAACUUCUCUCACAGAAUUUAGACGAUAGUAAAAAUGAUACAUUUAGUAACUUCAGGUGAAAAUCAGCCAAAAAAAAAAAAAGAUGUGUAUUUUUAAAAAAAAUCUAAAAAAAUAAUUGAUCUGUAAAUAAUUGCUUUAUUAAUUAUUUUAAAAGCUAUAUCAUAACUAAACUACCACUCAUUGCAAUUUGAAAAAAUAUCUUUUUUUUUUUUUUUUUUGGUCAUUUGCAUAUAAACCGAUUGUGUGGCGAGGAGGCAUUGUAACCUGUAAAUGCGGUAACUCAAUGACAAUAUCGUUCAAUUUUAGUCAAACACUUGGAGUCUAAUAUUAAAGACAUACACUUGUCAUUAUAUGUAGUUAAGAGGGGAAAAGAAAACGUUAGGUAUCUUCCUUUAGUUUCAUCUCUUUCACACAUGACUUUGCUUUUCCUCAUGUUUUAACAACUAAAUACUAAAGUUUGAAUAAAAAUAAUCUGACAAAUGAAGCAAUUAUUACAUAAUUAUGACAUAAACAUUGUAUCAUUAUGUUUCAAAAUGAUUGCUUCGAUUUAUUAUAGACUAAUGGUGGUUAUUGUUUUCUAUUCCACUAUAAUUUUUGUCUAUUAAUAUGUGUUUUCUUGCUUUGUAUAUAUCUAAGCUUAAUUAUAGUUUUCAAAUAUGAAAAAAAACUAUAAACAAUAGAUUGGUUCGAAUUGUUAUAAGUUUUUAUUUGAACUGAAAUAAAUAUAUUUUGCCUAUUCAGGAAAAAAAAAAUCGAAAAGGAAAGAAAGAAAGAGCAUUUUUUUAUUUUUCCAUUGACUUAUUUUAAAUAGUGUAUUAUUUGGUAACAAUUUGACGAAACAACAUUAGGUGCAACGACUGUCACUUUAAAAUGAUCGUGAGAUUCUGUUUACACUUACCGAAUGUGAUUGCUCAUGUGAUUUUCUUUAGAUUUCUUCAGAUACUAAUAUUGUAGUAAUUAUUUUAUUUUUUUUGUGGGAAAAAGGACAUUUACACCUUAAAAUUUGGAUAAAUAGUCACAAAAAUCUCUAAAUUUUAAAAAAAGAGAUGCUAAGAUUUCUUUUUUUUUUUUACCAUAAUAAUAUUUUAAUAUAGUAAUUAGAAAAUUAAUUUUAAAGGUUUUUAGGUAAUACAAAUUUAAUAUAAUAAUAUAAUCUAUCUAGUAUACUAAAAAUAUUAAAUUAUUUUUAACAUUUAAAAUAAUAUCAAAAUUUUAAAUUAUUAUACUAUUUUAAUAAUAUAUUUUUAUUUACUAUAAAAAAAUUAAAUAAAUGGGUUAAAUAGAUUUUAUAAUUAACAAAAUAUCUCCCUAUUGAUAAUAUUAAAAUUAAUGUUCACAUGAUAUUCAAACUAAUUUUAAUUUUAAUUUUACUUAUUUUAAUAUUUAUUAUUAAAAAUUACUUUAAUAUAAUGAAAUAGGUCUAAUAGAUUAUAAAAUAUUAAAAUUAUUUUAAAAUGUAUAUAUUAUUAUAUUUAUUUUAAUACCAUAUUUCUAUUUAUUAUAAAAUUUUAGGGUUAUUUUUUUUUUUUUGAGUUAUAGAAUUAAACGGUAUUAUGAUCAAAAGGGAGUUUUGGUGUCCCUUAUUAAAAACUUAGUGGCAUUUCUAAUAAUUUCCCCAAGUCUUGGAGUUACAAGUGUUUUUUUUUUUUUUUUUUAAUGUUAUAACUUUUGAAUAUGACGUUGCUGAGGCUAGCUCUUGAUUUACUUUCUCAUGUACUGAAAAUUCGAACCCCCAAUCCACCAGGGAAUUAAAAAAAAAAAGGAAAAAAAAUUAAAAAAACCUAAAGAUAACAAUUGAUUACGUCACAAAAGAAAUAAUCGAGCUCUUUAAAUACGUCAUGUAAUUAAAUGAAUUCCAUAUAUUUGAAGUUGGAAAAUCCCCAACCUCUAAGGCAAGGUAAAUUUUUUUAUUGAGGUAUGUUGAAAAUUAGAAAAGAAUAAACAUGUAUAAUAAUUUAAAAUCUUUAUGCACGCUAGCUUUGAUCCUUAUCUUAUUUUUAAUAUUCAAAGAAUGUAACAUGGAGAUCUUGAUCGAAAUUUUACUUAUUGAGCGAGGAGGAGGAGAGAUGAUGGCAACACAUAACCGAUCAGGAAGAAGGCAGAUGUCUGGUAUUAAUUUAAAUAGCAUAGGAAUUGACUGCAACUCUUUUUUCAAUUUCUUUGGGUUGCCGUAUGUGAAAUAAUUAAUACCUAAAAUUUGUGUCUUGUUUAUUUAUAAUCUGUUUUAAUUAUUGUUUGACUUUGGCUACAUUUUUUUAUUUUUUAUAAUCAUAUAAUUACUGGAUUUUAGAUUUUAAGAUAUAAAUUAUUUAGUUUAAAAUGGGAAAGGGGUAGGUUAUUAAAUUAAAAAAAAAAUUAAGGUGGCAAUAUUAGUCAUUGGGGGGUUUGGAUUAAAUUAAAUAAUUUAUACGGUCGUUUUUAAAUGAGUAUGAAAUGACAAACUUGUAAAUAUGUCAACAACAAUUUCGUAAAAUUAGUAAAAUGACAUAUCUGUAAAUGAAACUGAAUUUUCCCCCAAGUCCAUCCCAGGCAGCACGUAGCCCCGCCCCCUCCACGGAACCUAAUUAUAAUAAAUAAACUCUUGUCCUCUCAACGAGAAUACCCAACAAGACAGGCCAAUCAUUUGCCCUCCAAGUCCAUCAUUUUAGAAUAAAAACAAACAUUUAUUGUUAUUAUUAUUAAGUCAUAUUUAAAAUUGAGGUCGUGUGAUUUUUAAGUUACAAUUAUUGUAAAAAAUAUUGUUACUUUAAAAUAAAAAUUAAUAAAUUUGUAAUAAAUAUAAAAUUAAAAUAAUAAUUUUGAUAAAAUUAUUAAACAUAUAAUAGAUUUUUCGUGAUACAAGUGAAGAACUAUUUCAAUAUAAAUUUCAAACUACAGCAGUUAGUAUUUAUCAAACAUUUUAGUACUGUAACUUUUAAAGUAUAAUAACUCUACUCCAAUGCCAAACGCACCUUAAAUUGUAAUUACUGCGCCCUUGAGGUACGCACCAUAGUACCUAUGUAUUGUAAUAUUAUCAUACUUUAUUAAUUUUUAUUAAUAUUUUGUUCACAUAGUACUCAAAUUAUAAGGGGUAGACAGUUGAACCCCUGUUAUUGACGUACCCUUUAAGGUAAUAUAAAUCAUCGCACUAUCAGUUUGACCAAAAAAAAAAAAAGAUAUAAAAUUUUAAUAAUGCAGCGGGUCAAUGUAAAAAUCAUCCAAUCAAUAAUAUAUUAACACACCACGAUAAGAUCACUUAUAAUAAUUUAUUAUUUAUUUAUUUUGACAAUAUAAUUUUUCUCUAAUUAGUUAGAGGUAGUAACACUUUACUUUAUGAAGUCAUAAUAUUGACUGUGGAGUAUUAUGUGUGAACAUGCUUACUUUAUGAAGUCAUGGAGUAAUCUUAUUAAUUUCUCGAAUACCCAAUACUUAUUUUGAAUGUUUAGGUUUCUUCGAGUUAACUUAUAUUUCUUGCGAAUUUCUUCUAUUUUAUUCAAACUAUCAUUAAAAAUAGUGUUUGUAACAUUUAGUGUCCGAGCCGGCUAAUAAAGCAAGGGACAAGUCUCUUGUAAUUUCUCGCAAGGGUCAGGUAUCAUUCUCAUUACUCUUGAGCCUUGGGGUGGCACUGCACACAUUGCACGUAUACCUAUUGAUGAAGUUCGCAUAUUGAGUAAAAAAGCCAAGUAUAGUGCAUCUAAACUUCUAUAUUUUUCUUUAAAAAUUAUAUGUAUUUUAAUAUUCACGUAAAUCAAUCUUAUAUAAUUUAUCACUAUAUUAUUAUCUCUCCUUCAAUACCAAAAACAAAAAAAUUGCUCGGUUGUAAAUAUUGCAACAAUCUAUUCAACUCAAUCUUAGUAAAUUCAUUUUUUUUUAAAUAAUAGCCAAUGAAUAAAACUAAGAACCCAAAAUUAUAUUAUUCUAAUUAGAAAUGAUAAAAAGGAUAUGUAUUAAUAGGUGCUGUUGAAGAUUAAAUAAUUCAUAUUUAUGAUGCGCAAAUCUAAAUUAGUAUAUGUAUUUGCAUAUUUAAUUUUAAUUUUGUUGGUGAUUUAGAAAAUAUUAAGUAAUUAAUACAAAUAAAUUUAUAUCUAUAAAUCUAUGUAUUACUACCAUCUUGAAAUAUUACCUAUUAAUUAUUAAGUAAUUAGUUAUUUAUCUACUAAAUAAAAUUAAUGUGAUAAUUAAAACAUUUAAAUCUAAGGGUCCAUAACAACUCCAUUAUUAAUGCUAUAAAAAGUUAUACAGCGUCAUAGAAAAAUCUUAGUUAGUUAAUUGGUUAAUUAAUUGUAUUACUUGAGGAUAGUGGCUCCUAUUCUUCAGUUUCAAGUUUUAUCUAAAAGUUAGUAUUUAGAUUAGCAUCAAUGUGAAUACGGCAGUAUAAAAUAUUAUUAUUUUGCAACUGGAUGGUUGUAUUUAGAAGUGUUCAUCCCUCAAAGUACUAAAAACAAGUUUUAUGUAGGUUUGGAUUUUCUCAAAUUAAUUCAUUUAUCAUUUAUUUCUAUUUUAUUUUAUUUUUCGCUAUAGAAAAUUUGUGUCUGUAACUCACCAAUUUAUGUACAAAAAAUUUGUAUAAGAUUUUGUAUCUCUAUUUUUACUGAUACAAAAUAGGGUAAAAAGUUGCAUUUACGUCUCUCUCCCAUCUACAGUUAGAUUGACUGAAUCUAAUUGAUUAAAAAUUAAGUUACUUUUUAAAGUCAAAAUUUCAAAUUAAGCAAGCCGUUCCAAAUUGAAUAGAGCCUAAAAGUCGAAAAGUCUUAUAUAGAAGGAUUUUAUUUAUCUAUAAUUAUUUAUCUCUAGUCAUUUUGUUACUUCUUUAUAUAUAUUCAUUCUCAGGUGCAGACAUCUUAUUCUUUUUAACAUGAACAUGCUAUUAAGCCGUGACUUAAUAGAGUUAUUUUUUAAUGUACUAUAAAGUCGUGUAGUUUAAUAACAUUAAAACUGCACGGCUGAAAAUUGUGUCUACAUGGAAAAAAAGUGAGGAUCACCUUCACUUGAGAAUGUAUAUAAUAAUAAUAAUAAUAAUAAUAAUAAUUUUUCAACUAGAGAUUCCAAAAGUUAUUAAGGUAAGAGAUAGACUAAAAGAUAAGAAAAAAAAAAUACACUCCAAUACAAUACAAGGUAAACAAACUACAUUAGAGUGUGUGUUUUAUUUGUCCUUACUUUACCCUUUACUUUAAUAAGACACGCGCGUGUGCGUGUGUAUACAUAUAUUUGAACUGAUUGUCUACAAUUUUUUUUUUUACAAAAACCAUUUUGAAAAUUAUUUAUCUUAUCAUGUAUUCAACACUUCUCAUAGUCUUAGAUCAGAUUGUUAUCUUCUCUCAAUAAUUUGCGUAAACAUUAUUUGAAAAAAAAAAACAAAAAAAAAAUAUUCAUUUGAACUUGACGUUUUAAGUAACACAACAAUCUCUCAGAUUGUUGUUAUCUUCACUCAAUAAUUUGCGUAAACAUUCAUUAAAAAAAAAAGUAAAAAAAUAUUCAAUUCAACUUCACGUUUUAAGCAACACGAGAAUCUGUAAUUAAAUUAUUCACGAUCCAAUACAUAUAAUAUAACGACUAUCCCACCGCUUUUUCCGAUGAUACCUAUCGUCCUGUGAUGGAAUUUUGACAUUUUUGGUUGUAUACAAUUACCUCCGGUGGAGGUAACAUGCUAAUAUUUGUACUUUAAAAUUUAUUUUAUACACUUAUUUAUUAAUUUUUUUUUAAAAAAAUAGAUUUUACUCCUUGCCUAAACAAUAGUGCUUGAAUCUCAACUAUUAUGGCAUUAACUGAUUGAAUAGUAGGAUAGUAAUUUUACACCAUAUGUAAUUCGGAUCAGGAUUCUCUCAUGAUCUGAUCAUGUCCUAAUCAAAUAAUUUAAUUGAUUAUUGGUUAUUAAUAAAUAAAAAAAUAAAAAAAUAAAAAAAGUUAAAAUCUUACCCAUAUACUACCACUAAAAAACACAUGGUAAAAAAUCUUUAAAAACUCAGUAGAGGGAGGAUCCUAUUCCAUGCAAUUCACUAUCUAAUAAAUAAAUGACUACACAUAAUAAUUUGGACUCAGUUAAUGAGAUCCUGAACAUUACUCUUAUCUUAAAUGAAUAAGAUAAAAAAAAACUUUAAGUUAAAUUAAAUUGAAUAUUUUUAUUUAUUCUACGCAUUCAUAAAAUAAUUCGUGCUCAGUUGUUGAAUUCCGAACAUUAUCGUUAUCUUAAAUGAAAAAAAAAAUCUUUAAGUUAAAUAAAAUUGAAUAUUUUUAUUUAUUCUGCACAAUCAUAAAAAUAUACAAUGCACACAAAAACUAAUUCUCAAGAAUUUAGCAAAUAAAUGCAAAAAGAAUAGCUUGUUCAACUUUCUUCGUUUUACUCCAUGAAAAUUUGAUUCGAAGAGCUCAGGCAUGCUUUGGUAAUUAAAGGCUUAUUUCAAUACUAGUUCAGAAAAAGUCAUUGGGCACUUUAAUUUGUUUAUUUUUACUGAAAAACUUAUGAGGCUCAUACAUGCUAUACAUAGCUUCUUCUCGUAGUUAAAAUCCUUCGAAAAUAUAGAUUUACUAAAGUAUCCCUACUGGGUGUGCGGAUGUGUUCAUGUGAUUUUGCAUGGGUGGUCCUUGGCACUUUAGCUAUUAAACACUGCUCCCUAAAAAUAAAAGUGAUGUCCUAAACUUUUACAUUCAAGCAAUCACAAUUAACAAAUUUAGACUAGAGAAAUUUAUUCUUAUAAAGAGAUUAUAACUCAAUACAGGUAUAGUAUAAAAAUUAUUGUCUUUCCUUAAUUAUUUUUAAUGCAAGUGAUAUAAAGGUAAAUUAUGUCAUGUAUUAAUAAAUUAAUUAAUAAGUGAAUCAAAUUAAAUGUAUAGACAUUAAUAAAUUAAUUAGUAAGUGAGUCAAAUUCAAUGAAUAGAUAUUAAUAAAAAAAGAUAUAUAGUUUCAAAAAAACUAAUUCAAAAAGUUUCAAAAAAACUAAUAGGAACCUACAAACAUACUCGAGAAAUUAGAAAUAUUUUAGCUUCAACAAGAAAAUGCUUAUACUGAUUAAUUAAUACAUACCCGUAAAUUAAAAGAUGUGGUUGCAACUUUUAAAGAACAAAUCAUUGUCACCAGCAAUUUUAGAAAAAUAUUUUAUUUAAUCUUAAUUAUUUACUGUAAAAUGAAAUAUAUUUUUGAAAUAUUAUUACUAUGUGAAGGUAAGUUUAUUAAGACGAAACCUAUAAAAAAUAUAACUUAUUAUGAUGUGAAAUUUAUUUCUAAUUAUAACUGGUCCCAAGUUGGGACUAUAAUUUUUUUAUUACUAUGAAGAGGUUAUUCUUAAAUAAAAUAUUCUUAUGUGAAAGUUGUAUUAUAUAUAUAUAUAUAUAUAUGAUAAAUUAGAGGAAGGUGCAUUUUAACCUUUUUCUAUGUUUUAUUUUGUUGUUAAAUCAUGAGUGUCUACACAAGUACUACUGCUAUUCACUAAGGCUACCUUCCUAUGCAGGUUCAUUCAGCAUGUGGUAAUUAGUUUCCUCUUUUAAAAUAAAACUUCCACUUAAAAAACAAAACCAAAUAAAAUAAAAUAAAAUAAUAAAAAUAAAUAAAUAGAUAUUACUCACAGUGACAUACAGUGUAGAGAGAAAAGCGUGUGGGGGGUAGGUGUGAGAUUGACCGAACCACCUUGGCUCGCACACUUUCGCAUUGCCAUCCUCAGUAUAAAUGCCCUUCCCUCUCUCUAUUUUCCCUCAGCUUGACGUUCCAUUCAGAGAACACCAAGCGUACUCUCAAAUCUUCUUCUUUACUUCUCCCACCUACCACCUCCUGUUCUUAUUCUUCUCCGUUUGGUUUUUUUUUUCAAAUAAAAAUAAAAAUAAAAGAAAAAAUGAAUACUCUAUCGUCCCCUUCUCCCCUUAUCCGUCCCCGAGGUUCUCGUUCCCGUUGUCGUCAGUUCAACCGGGUUCAAUGUGUGUACAGAUCCGACUCGGUUCACUUCCCAAACGGCAUCGGUUGCAGCCGCACUGACUGGCAAAGCUCCUGCGCUAUCCUCUCCAGCAACGUCGUCUCUCAACAGCAGUCCGGUGAUAAACCCGCCGAGCACAUCGCCGCUGUCAACGGUCACAAGACUUCCAUUGACCUCAACCUCGUCCCCAUCGAGCACGCCAACAGCGCCGCCGCCACCGCUAGCAACAACAAGCCUCAGCUUCCGCCGCAGAAGCCGUUGACAAUCACCGACCUCUCUCCGGCUCCUAUGCACGGCUCACAACUCCGGGUCGCCUACCAGGGCGUCCCCGGCGCCUACUCCGAGGCUGCCGCUGGCAAAGCCUAUCCGAACUGCGAGGCGAUUCCUUGCGACCAGUUCGAAGUUGCUUUCCAGGCUGUCGAGCUCUGGAUCGCGGACCGCGCCGUCUUGCCUGUUGAAAACUCGCUAGGCGGAUCUAUCCACCGGAACUACGACCUCCUCCUCCGCCACCGGCUUCACAUCGUCGGAGAAGUUCAGCUCCCGGUUCACCACUGUCUGUUGGCCUUGCCUGGCGUCCGCAAAGAGUACCUCACGCGCGUGAUUUCACAUCCGCAGGCGCUCUCCCAGUGCGAGCACACUCUGACGAAGCUAGGGCUCAACGUCGCACGGGAGGCCGUCGACGACACGGCCGGAGCUGCCGAGUACAUCGCCGCCAAUGACCUCCGCGACACCGCGGCAAUAGCCUCCGCACGCGCCGCCGAAUUGUACGGAAUGCAAGUCCUGGAGGAUGGGAUACAGGACGAUUCGAGUAACGUGACUCGGUUCGUGAUGUUGGCGCGUGAGCCGAUAAUCCCGCGCACGGAUCGGCCGUUCAAGACGAGUAUCGUGUUCGCGCACGACAAGGGGACGAGUGUGUUGUUUAAGGUGUUGUCGGCGUUCGCGUUCAGGAACAUAAGUUUGACGAAGAUAGAGUCGCGGCCGCACCGGAACCGCCCGAUCAGGCUGGUUGACGAUGCGAAUGUGGGGACGGCCAAGCACUUCGAGUACAUGUUUUACAUUGAUUUCGAAGCCUCGAUGGCUGAGGUUAGGGCGCAGAAUGCGCUGGCGGAGGUCCAGGAAUUCACGUCGUUUUUGAGGGUGUUGGGGAGUUAUCCUAUGGACAUGACCCCAUGGAGCCCGUCUAGGGGAGAAUAAUGACAAUAAAAUUAUUAGCUAUUUUAUUUAAAAAAAUUAAAAAUUAAAAAAUAUUGAAUGUUUAUUAUUUGCACAAAGAAGAAGAAGAAGACGAAAAGGAAAAAAAAAAAAAAAGAGGAAAAUUAAUUAGAAUUUCCCCCCCUUUUUCUCGGAAUUUGUUUGUAAUUUUUAUUUUGAAUUCAUCAAUGGCAAUUUCUUGGUGGGUAAAUGGUAAAUAAUUUUAUUUGUUGUUGGGUUGAUGGAGUUCAGAUUAAAACGUGUGGCUGAUACGUGUAAGAAAUUAAGAAUGUGUAUGCUAAAUCCACACACACCCAAUUGUUGUAUUUUAUAUGCAAUAGAACUCGGAGAAGGAAUGAGAAGAAAAAACAAGAGAAAGUAUCAAUAACUUCGUCGAUGUUUAUUUCUAUUAUUUUUUUUUCCCAAUUGUUUCAGGUGAUGUUUAUACACUAACAAUUUUGGAGAUAUUUCUUGUCCUUUUAGAGAUUUUUUAAUUGGGAGAACAUUACUGACAAUAAUAAUAUUAUUAGACUUAGCAGCAGUUAGGCUUUGGAUUUAGGUGUUAUUGUCUCAAAUCUCAAUUGGUGAAUCUGAUUAGAUUAAUGACUUGACGCUUCCUACUGCUUAGCCACAAAUAGUUUCUAGCUAGUUAGUGUUGGGAAGAUGUUGUUUACGUGAUCUUCUUAUUAUUACUAUUUUUAUUAUUAUUUUUUUUUGGGUAUGGUUAAUGGUUCCCUUCAUUUUAGCACCUUUCAUUUAUGUUGGGUGUCGAUAAGAUCCAGCAUGAAUCGGUUCUGUGAUAUCAUGGUUCGAAAACUUAUUUCCAAAUAAGGGGAAUUUUGCCCCAAAAUUGGAAGAAUCUGCCUCACUGACCGUACUCAAUAUUCUCAAAACUAUGGAAUUUAGAGGUCUUGAUCUAAGUUAUACGCAAUCUAACUUACCUUAUAAAAUUCAAAUUUGUUAUUCUUGAUCUUAGGUGUAAUCGUGGGAUUGGAAUCCCAUAUACACACAUCUUCUGGAGAGUUGCCUCCAACAAUGCAAACAGAUCAAAACCCGCCACAUAACAACAAAACACCGUCACUGUCAAAUACUAAAAUGCCAAUAUGAGAAGAUUCUUAACAAAUAAUCAUAAACUUGAUCAUUUGGAUAAGCACGGCG
rnacentral:lncRNA from 1 species